UGUUCGGUUUGUUACUGGUUUGGUACAAGAGUUAAGUAGUAUUUUUUUUGAGGUCCUAGGUAAUUUAUCAAUUAUCUUGUUUUUGAAUUUACAUUAUUUCUACUCCACUAGCAAAAGUAACAUAAUUUUGAUCGAAAUUUUUUUGCACCCUCAAAUAUGUACACGUGUUGGCAAGAAAGGAAUGGAGGUGCCAAACUUUGUAGUAUUCCAAACAAUAGCCAAAUUUCAAAUGCAUUAACAGAAAAAGUUAGCAAGGCUAGCCAGGAUGUGAACCAAACACAUCUGUACAAUUCCUUCAGAUUGUUUGCUUAAAUUGUCUAAGUAUGAAUCCUUUAGAGACUUGCAUUUUUCAUCUUGUUUACUUGGUAAACGGUAUUUUGCACUGAUAUCAGUGAAAUUAUUUCUGUCAUAGAUGAAACCAACAAUAUUUUGCUCAUUGUUCCAGGGUUCUUUGCAAGUUCUUCAUGCAUGGAGCUUGCUUGAAAGGAGAGUACUGUGAGUUCUCCCACGACUGGAAAGACCAAGCGAAUAACGUAAUGCAUUGACAGCUGUUACAUGCAUUUUUAGUCUUAUAUCUGGAGCUACAGUUCAUAUCCUUUGGGGUUUCUUACUGUGAUAGUUUCGUACUCAGGUUUGCACAUUCUACCAGAAAGGUGCAUGCUCAUAUGGUAGCCGUUGCAGAUAUGACCAUGUCAAAGUUUCUCGUAACCCUACAGUGCCGCCGCCACCACCAUCGUCAAGUACUGCAAGACUUGCAUCUACAUCUCGUCAACUUUUAAGUUCCAGUCAUCUUCCUCACACAGGACACCAAACAGAUUCAAGCAACCAAAGAAAUCAGAUAUCUGUGGAUAUGCUGGCACAUUCUACCAGUAAGCCUGCAUGGAGUAAUGAUUUUCAACAUGUUGUUUCAGAGGAUGAAAUUGACUGGUCCUCUAACCAAACUUUGCAAAACCAGACAAAAUUGAAACCUUCUGAUCUGCCUAUUUGUUCGUUUGCUGCUGCUGGUAAUUGUCCUUAUGGGGAAGGGUGCCCUCAAAUGCAUGGAGAUCUUUGCACAACCUGUGGAAAGAUGUGCUUGCAUCCUUAUCGUUCUGAUGAGAGGGAGGAGCAUAUCAAGUUAUGUGCGAAAAAUCACAAACGCCUUGAAGCUCUGAAACGCAGCCAAGAGAUAGAAUGCAGUGUCUGUUUGGAUCGUGUGCUAUCAAAGCCUACUGCUGCUGAAAGAAAGUUUGGACUGCUAUCUGAAUGUGAUCAUCCUUUCUGUAUCGCAUGCAUUAGAAAUUGGCGUAGCAAUUCUCCUGCCUCUGGUAUGGAUGUGAACUCAGCACUGAGGGCUUGUCCAAUAUGUCGCAAACUUUCGUACUAUGUCAUUCCAAGUGUUCUUUGGUACUUCUCGAAGGAAGAGAAAGAGGAAAUCACUGAAAGCUACAAAUCCAAGCUCAAGUAAGAUUUAUGUUCCCCAUCUUUAGUCACUCUUGUGGCAUGCCCCUAAUUUUAUCUGUGUCAUAUUAAUCAAAACUAGAAAAAUGUGUCAAAUAUUUCAAGUAUUCAUACCUUAACUCAGUUGAUUGAGCUGUAGCUGUAAGAUACUACAAGAUAGUGUCCAACAUAUGUUUCGUGAGAAGCAAUUUAUGUGAAUACUAGUUCACCUUAUUACUUAACUUAUUUCUUAGUAUCUAAUGUAGAAUAUAAUGUUGCAGGUCUAUUGAUUGCAAGUACUUCGAUUUUGGGACUGGCUCAUGCCCCUUUGGUACAAGUUGUUUCUACAGGGUAAGGAAUAGUAUCUUUUACGUGCUAUGAAUGUUUGAACUGAAUGCAGCUGAUAUGUAAUCAAAUUUCUUUGUGGCUAUCCAGAGAGUUGUAGAGCUCAGUACCAGUCUACCAGAAAGAUUCCUUGCUACCUAUGUGCAGUAACUUAGUAAUGUACAGAACUCUAGCUAAAGCUGGUGCCCAACUUUCAUGUUUGCUAUGAUCUUCUGAACAGUUUUAACAUUGUGAUAUAAGUAAUUGUAUGAUCUAUUAUCCUCGAGUCCUUAAACCAGCUGGGUUUUGCAUUUUUUUCCUGGUAGGAGGCACCUGACUUGGGGUGUCUGGAACCUUGGUUACUCCUUUUUAUUGAUUUCCUUCAUUAAGCUACCUGAGCACCCUAGAAUAGUGAUGGGCAGACAAGGUAUUGGAUCAAAUGAAUUCAUACACCUCUGACUUAUAUGGGUGGCUGAAAUCACACUGGCUUGUCCAAAAUGUAAUGCGUUAUCUACAUUACAGCUUACUGAAGGUUUUUUUUUUCAAUAUAUUAUAUCAGUGACCCUUGGAUGGAUUCUGACAACAGUGAGCCAAAUUUUGGCUUAAGUUAUCUGUUCAUCAUCAUCAUUUCUGUGAGAUAUUUUGAGUUAUGACUCAUGCAUCAUGUUCUCAACAAUUGUAGUCUUAAAAAUGGUCCAAGUUUACUGGCAAUAUAAAAAAUUCUCAUACAUGGAGUGGUGAAACUUAAAUAGUUCGCAGAUAAAAGAUUCAUUUGUAUGAGACAAUUCUUAAUUCUUUUUGGUGUGAAUAGCGUGUAUUGUGCUCCCUGAUAGAUUUUCUGGGCAGCUGUUUUAAGGUGCAGGGAACUUGAGUUUUUUAUGAUUAUUUCCCUGUGUGACUCACCUUGAUUUAUGUUAAACUGUGAUGUUACCUGCUCAGUAAAACCCAUCAUUUUCAUUCAACGUUGAACUAACUCUUGUAGCCUCCAUGUUUUGCAGCAUGCCUACAGAGAUGGACGCUUGGAAGAGGUUGUACUGCGGCAUCUUGAUGCUGAUGACGGAAGUACAGUAAUUGCAAAAAAUAUCAGGUAUAUGUUCUCUAUCAAGUUUCUAUGCACACUUGUAUUUUUUGCCCUCAUCUUAGCCUCUCUCACCUUCAUGUUUGUCUUCCAGGUUGUCGGACUUCCUCAGUCGGAUGCAUCUUUAGGGACCACCAGCUGUAUAUAUAUCUAAUGUAAGAAUAUGCAAAAUCUGUGUUUAGUACCCAGUUCACAUUAAUAUUCUAGUUCUAGACAAAUAAUCCAUUAUGCAAUACAUGCCUAGAAAUGCCAUUUUAUCUUCUGAUGUAGAAAUUUUGCAGUAGUUAUGUGUCACCAUUGAACAAUUCGAAUUGGAUAUAGGUGUACAAGGGGACUUCUGCAAUCAUUUUCUUUUCUCUAUUCAUCAAUAUAUGAAUCGUCUUGCACUUAUUUUCCUUUUUGUCUCGGUUUUUCAUUCUUUUAUUUCAGUGUUUUAUUCUUGCAAAAAUCAUUUUCUUCAUUAUUUGACCAAGUGAACUGAAACAUUUGCGAACCAGGCAUUCUGGGAUAUCAUUAUCCACCAAUUAUUUGCAAUAUUUGAAGAGCAGUUUAACUUGAGGCAUCUUCGGAAACCACAGCUUUCUCUCCAUUUAGUGGUGGUUGCUUUGUCGCCAGUUGAACAAAGGCAAUCCUUGCGCACUAAAGAUUUGCUGUUCCUUUAUCUUUUCAAGGCCAUGCAUAAAUUCACUUUCUUAAUCUUUUAUGUUAGCCACGUGCCUGAUAUUGAAGUUUUGAACACUCACUUUAAUGCAGAAAUUUUGAAGUUCUCCUGGUCCGGCUAGACACCUGGAUGACUUCUUGAAAGAAGCACAGUUGACCUAAGGGCAAUGGGGAAAAAAGUCCCAUAAGAAUUGUGCUGGAAUGUUGAAGUAAAAUAAUUUAUAAAAUUCACUGUAUGCGGCUCAUGUGUUGAUUGCUGGUCUUCUGGGCUACCAAUGAUUCAGUAGAACAUUUCCUGGCCGUCCAGUAACAGGGCAGGUUUGUAAAAUACUUCGUUCUACCUUGGUGCUCUUAUCUUGUUAAAUGUCCUGCACCAACUAGUCAACUGAGGUCAUUUGGUUGUAAUACUUAUUAUACAAGGGGGAAAAAGAGCAAACGAAACACAGAAUGGUCGUUGUCCUGCAGCAGGCUCGAAGGUGACUCGUACUUCCCAGCUGGAAGUGCCUUGCGACAGGUCAAUUGAGGUUAUUUGGACAUACUUCUUAAAAUGUAUGAGAAUAACAAAUGAACACAUGAUCACUAUACUGCACUGGUUGUGCAAAGUACUCCAGUAAACUGUAGACAAGCCGUUGACCGCUUAUGCCUGAGAAUAGCAACAUCUCUGGAGCUCAAAUGCUGUUUCUGAUUUGCGGCAGCAUCCGUUCGUAAUUAAACAGCGCUCAUGCGCUGCAAUUGAUUUGUGGUGUUGGCGCCCUAUGCAUAAACUUGCAAGCCAUUCUUCAAGACAUUUUGCUUUUAUUUCUAUUUCAACGGUCUUUUGCAAUAAUCAAGUUGAUAGAUGCUCGGUGCCUGGGUGGACUGAGAGGGUAGCUACUCAAACCCAGAGUAGAGAGGCAUCCAAAUUCACCCUACCAGCCCCUUCUACGGGUGACUAAGGAGACCCUUAUUUUACAUUUGUGGCCGUUUUCCCCUCCACGGCAUGGCAGCAUGCGCCACCACUUGGACUGAUGCCUCCGCAUCUUGUACUAGCUAGCGCCCGUCACCUCCCUACCCGUCCUUCCUCACCAGAUCCCGAGCGGGAGGGCCACCUUCUAAACCGCUAGUGCCAUCUUCCCAAGGUUCGAGCGCGAGGAGUGCCAGAUGCUUAUAAUAAAACAUAUUGCAGAAAUAAGGCAUCGACGAUUACGUACCGGAACAUUGCCGUUCUUUUUAAUAGGGUGUCGAUUAAUGAAAAUGGGGCAAUGUUUUGAAGAUGGUGACCUUAACGUGUGGGUUUCUCAUGCAAGUGCGCAACUAGGCAAAUGCCUGGUGUUUUUAAUUUAAAGUUAUAUAUUAGCUAGCAUAGCAAACGGAACAGUCACAAGAACUGAGUGUAGCUCAAUUAUUUAGAUUUCUCGGCCUGUUUGUCUCAUCGGAAAUGGAUGGAGUUUAAAUGGAUGGAAUUAGAAACACAUUCCGCUAAACUUAUUUGGCAAUUCAUGGCAAUUGGAAAAGGAGAUUCUACACCUUUCCACCUCCUAAAAUAUUGGUCUAGGUCAAAUUCACGGCCUGACGAGAGGAGCUACGUGUGGCUAGAACACAACGGUUAAUAAAAAGGGAUGAGAUAAAGCUUUGUGCUUGUUUAGUGAGACCAUGGAUCCAAGGGACACGGGGUGCCUUGAUCAAACCGGCUUUGAGCCAAUGCUCCAGAAGGUACUUAUGUGUGUUUCUUUGUGUGUGUGUGUGAAGUUGGGUUUGAACAGGGUCAGCUAGGUUUGGCGGGACCUUGGGGUGUCGGUUGAACCUGGGCCGAUCCCAUUUCUCCCCAGAUUUGGUCCAUUUGUUACUUGCAUCGAAUAGCCACCAAAACUCAUGGAACUUUAUUAUUUUAGAUAAAAUAUGCAUGAAUCAUAUUAUAUACUCCUUUCGUUAACAACCGGUGAAUAAUAGAGAAACUAUCAAUCCAGUUAUGUAACCAAAAGGGGGGAAUCAUUAACGCUGCCCACCUGAAUCAAUAUUGAGGUGUCAAAGAUGGUCUUUGCAAUUGAUGUUGAAGUGGAACCCAACCCAAGUUGUUUGUGAUCUGUUCGCACUAACCAGCAGCACCGCAUUCUCAACACCAACCCUAAAAUGUUGAGGUUGGAUAUACCAAGGCCCCCAAGAUCAAGUUGCAUUGACCCAAGCAUGGUGUAGCGCCAGCGGAAGCUGCCUCAAAGCCACACCACAAGAAACCCUAAAAAAUCGAGGUGUCACCUAGAGGGGGGCGGGGUGGUUUGUGAAUAAGUGAAUCCUACGAUUAACAAAAACUUGAACCCACUACCAGUUCAAAAUUGGUCAGGCUGGUUUUCUACAGGAAAGCUCAACAACUUGUGCACAAGCCUCUCUACAAAGUUCUAGGACAAACAAACUUGAAGAUAUUCUUCUACACAUGAUUUCUAGCAGGUUUAAUGAGUCCCUAAACAUAGAAUAAGCACACCCAAGUAGAAUGAAGUGGAAGUACAAAUAUAUGCUAGAACUGAACAAGUGAGGCAAACUGAAUCAGAUAUACCUUGUAGCAUUUGACCCGUUGGUAUUUGGGUAUCGUUAUUUAUUUUAUCCUAGAGGAAGGCGAUAGUCAAAAGAGUUAUUAUAUUCAUAAAUGUAUCAUAAUUGAGCAACCAAGGUACAAACAGGGGUAAGAGAUAAUAUGGAGGUAGUGUGACACACAAGAGAAUCAAACUCAAAUAAAUAAGACUAGGGAGAAAGACACAUGAGGAAACUCUAGGUUCAUAUGUACUUCCUAUAUACUACACAGAUCAUACACAUACAUAUACAAGAUACACAUCUAGUACUUAGUUCUAAGCACCCAGGCACUACCGAGGGGCCGUCCCCUACUGGUCUGCCAGCAGUUAUGGAAAUUUAAGAACUCUUACACGUGGAGGAUUAUGAAGGAUGAACAUGGGUUGUCACCACCUGCUGCCUUCCUCUGCAUUCCAUGGGGCACACACGCAUCCAAAGAUACCCAUUUAACCCCGUGCUUACAUUCAAAGAAUACUACAAACCAGCCCCCCAUGGACUCCCACCCUUCGGAUGGAUGAGUUAAGGUUGGAGCAACCAUAAAGAUCAUUAGAACCGAUGUUGUGGCAUAGAUCGACUAGACUAAACAUGCUUUUGCAUACGAAAUGAAUACAAACUAUGGUAAGGACCUAUGACUAUAAACACAGUAUAAGAGCCAAGCAUAACACUAUAUAAGAAAAAUAAUUUCAUUGAUAAGCAUAAAGUCAAAUAAGUUAGGAGAUACAAAAGCCAUACCCUUAGCUUCCAAGAGGACUUGGGAAUCAAAGUAGAGCUACUCUAGCUAACUCUACUAGCUUAGAAACUAAAUGAGGGAGAGAGUGAUUCUUUAUGGUGUGUGUUGGAAUGGAGGUCACACCCCUCUAUUUAUAGGUGCUAGGAGGCGGUUCUGAGGCGACAUCUAUAGGGAAUUAGUCACCACCAACAUCUGGAAGGUGGUUGAGGGUGACACAUGGUGGCUAGAGACAUGCUGAGCCCGUGGCGGUUUGGCUGACCCCCUGUGCCCGCCCUCGUAACUGCCUUUGGAAGGAUGGCUGCUAGGUGGGUCCCUAAGGUGGUGCCUGGUGUUCCCCAUGAAGUUGAGGCAGCUUGGCCCUAGUUGUGGGUCCCUCAAUCCAUGUGCUUUCCUCUGAUUGGUUGGAGUUGUGUUUCUUUGCCACCUAUGGUGUGUUUUCUCCUCCUUUUGUGUAUAACUUACCCGCAAUCAAAUAAUCUCCAAGUACAAGUGGAACUACAUUAUUUAAAAUAAAUAUGCAUGUUAAGAAAUGCUAGUUCUCCUUUAUUUUCUAGCAUAGUUGAUGGUCAUUUUUGGUACUUAACAACCAUCAACGUACACAACUUAGGUAGUAUACGAUUCUCAUCAAUGUUGAAAUGUAAGCUAGAGAGGAAAGCAUGCAUCUCUUGUUAGAAUUUCUUAGCACGACUAGGCGUAACUGGCCCUUCACAAUCUUGGGUGUGCAUAUCCGAUACUUUUUUUUGUGUAACCAAUAUUGCACUUAUUUCUUGAGAUGUAAUUGGUGACAUAACGUUGCUGCAGGCAUAAUCAAUGUAACCGAUGCAUGAUAUGAACCCGCUAGGGUUUGUUCUUGAUCUUUCGAUGAGAGAAGGUGGAUAACUCAAUUUGGGGAUGGAGACGACAUUCAUGGCCCGACUACAACCAUCCAAGGAUGCUGCGCCUUAGCAAAUGAUACACCACCUCCAAUGGUCGUCGCAAUCUUGUGGUGCACGAUCAACCAAACCACUAGGGUAAUUCCUGCAAGCAAUCGAGUAACAAGAAAGAACAAGAAACUCAAUUGCAAAUAUAGAACUGAAAACCAAUCUGAAAUAACCAAGUUGGGGUUCUAAAUCGAGUAGAAUGGAUGUUUAGUCGACACACGCUUCUAUAAGGAAGUAGCAAUGGCUAAACUUUUAAGAAAACAAAAAUCAAUCUGUUUGUGGUGGCUCUAAUUCUUAUUAAUACCUAGGAGGAUGACUGGGGGGUCCUUGUGUCAUGCUCCAACCCUAGGACACUCCUUAUUGGACCCGACUUGAUACAAGGCCCAUCGAGCCAAAAUAAGGCGACGCAACACCAUUGAUAGAAAAACCUGUCAGUAGUAAUUUGAUCAUUGCAGCCGUCUCAGGAAAGAUAUAGAUAUGAGUCUAGAUCCAUAUGAAAAUAGACUUCAUAAGGAUUCCAAAGAGUACUUGAACACCCAAAACAGAGUCCGGAUGAGUUUGUGGCGGCCGUCGCAAGUUGGCAAAGUGCUACAGUUUGAAUCCAGCCCCAAAACAUGUUGGAUUUGAUUUCUUUCUUUCCUUGAGCCAAAAGUGAUGUGGUGGCCUGGUGGAGGACGAUUGGGAAUACUUGGACUUAGCCUCCAAUCAACUUCUUUGGUCCUACAUGCCUUCCAUGUAUAUUUAACACUCUUUUUGAUCCACAUAUAUAUUUCUGAAAAUGACAAUGAGCACACAUCAUGGUGAAGCAUCAAUUCAUCAAAUGUAUCAAUUACAAUCUUGAUAAAGAAUUGUUUCACCUUUGAAUCAAAAUCUACCAAUAUGGUUGUAUCCGAGCAGGUGAUGUCCUCAUCAUUCUACCUUUCUUGGCUGCAAGUCGUCCUCGACUUGCUCCAAUGGCAUUCAAAGGUACUUGCGUUGAUGAUGGAACAUGGAGCGAUGGCUAUGCUGCAUUGCCACAACCAGAAAUACUUCCCUUCUUCAGGCUCACCUUGUUGCAUAUGGGAAAAGCUAGGAAAACUUUGCAAGACAUUAUUAGUGUUAGUGCAGCUCCCUAUUUUAUCAUGGUAUUGUAACCCAAAAGGAUAUUUUAGAUUAGAGCAAAUAUAAACUUUAUGCACCAAAUAUUCUCCUUUGCUUUCAUAUUUGUCAAUUGCAUGAAGCGAACAAUAAUUAAAACUUGGCAAGCUAGAAUCAAAUUUAAGUUUCUCUUGUAGACAAUUUAGAUUACACAGAAUAUCAAAUUCAAUGUAACCCAGAGUAUUUAAAGAGGACAACAAAUUGAUGAAAAAGCUUAUCUUCAGUACAUUUGCAUGGUUCUAGACCAAAAGUAUUGCACUUAUUCGCUACUUGUGACAUAGGAGUAAAAGAAUCAUCAGCAUACAAAUUCUCUUUAUCACAAGGAACAACAAGUAAUUCAUUUUGUGAUAAAGGAAAAUUAGCAAUGGGUUCCCCUAUUUGUUGCUCUUCAUAAGCAUGCAGAGUGUACAAAUUUUGGAUAUAAUGGGUCACAUCAUUGUUGCAGGUAUUCAUAGAUAAAAUAAUCUCCUUUCCAACAUUAAGAGCAAGAUAAAACAAUUGACCAAUAUGGCUAUAAGAAUUUCUAAUUAACAAGGUUCAAAUUUCAGAAUUGAGCCUUCUCAUGAACCUACUCAUAACAUCUUCCAUGUAUUCAUGUAAUUCACCAUACAUGAUACAAUUUUAAAAUCGUGGAAGUAUUCUUUCACAGUCCUACUACCUUGCUUCAAGUUGUCUAAUUUUACAAGCAAAUAAUUAGCAUAAUAUGCAGGAAUGAAUGCAUCUCUAAAAAAAAAUUUUGAAGCCUUCCCAAGAUUCUGGAACUUUGUUGUGUCUACAAAUGUGUUAUCAUUCUAGCAAAGCAUAUUCAGUUAAAACAUUAGAGGCAAUAUAAAUCUUUUGUUUCUCGAAUAGGUCAUGCUCAUCAAAUUCAUUAUCUACUUUUAGCGUCCAAUCAAUGUAAUAUUUAGGAUUAAACUUACUAUCAUAUAACAACAAGUGUUGAAUGACAUUUUGAAUAUGAGGGUCUAGUCUCAACAGCUCAAAAAUUUCCGUAUAACCUGCCAUGAUUAGUAGAAAAUAAGAAACACAAAAAUAAUAUGUAUCCCCCUAUCAACUACUAGGAUGUGUCGGUUGUAAUUCUCUCAAACUCAACUUGUUUAAAACAAGCCCUUACAAGUUCUUACCAAGCCAAACAAGAGGUGGCGGUAACCAACAAGUCUACAAUCGUGGAGUGAAGUGUAUCAGUGCCGUAGCAACAAAAAUCUAUCAAGCUGUAGUCGAAUUGUAGAGAAGUAGAUGGGAAACACCAUACACCCAAAUGAGGGGGUUGACCACUAUAUAUAUGGCCAAUAUGGCUUGGAGUACAAGGAAUACAUCAAGUGUACAAGGAAAGGAUAUAUACAUCGUAAUAUACAGAUACUUCCAAAUACGAAUAUGUGGAGCUGUAGGUGGGUUUAAGCAAGGGAAAAUACUAGCACCACGUUAAUCACAAAAGCAAGCUAAGUAAUCUGUUCAACGGUGGUAUUGUGCUGGCCCUAGGAUAAACCAUGCUAGAGAUGUGAGCCUAGGCACAAAGGUAGUCAUAAAAAAGAGCAACUAGCACAGCACAAAGAAAAACAACAGAUUCACAGAUUCAGCCCCUUCUUUCUUCUCCUUCUCUUGUCUUUUUUUCUUCUUCUUUCUUUUUGUUUUUUUUGUAGGAGCCUAAAUCUUUUGUUUUGUACUAUGACAACCCAAACAAUAAGGCUAUUGCACAUAGCCCCAUCGAAUUCAGAUUUAACAACUCUUGUUAAUACAGUAGAUGCGAAAAUCUCUUGGAAUAUUGUGGAGCGCUCCAAAUGAAUUUUUCUGCAAGGUUAGAUCCGCUAGAAACAAGACAACUUCAUCUUUAUAGAUUGUAUUUAAACUCUAAAAUCGGACAUCAUAUGGAUCUGUGGUGGCAAAAAUGCAGCAAAGAUGUAUAUUGUGAUGGUGGAUCUCGUGGUGACCAAAACGUGAUAGAACUCAAAACUCUAAAGGAAUAGACACUAAGACCAGCAACUCGACACAACCGAUGCAACCAAAAACUCAAAAAGCUCUAACUAAGCAGUACUAGUAAAAGGCUCAAAGGGUCUUUAGGAAUAAGGGAAACUAAUCUAGUAAUUUUUUUUGGCUUUUCUAGACUAUAGGAAAAUUAAAACAGCAAAAAACUGAAAGUCUUUCACCACUGAACCUUGCUCUCAUUACCAACUGAUAGGAACCUACUAGGUUGAUUCCCAAACUUUCGAUGAGAGAAGGUGGAUAACUCAAUUUGGGGAUAGAGACGACGUUCACGGCCCGACUACAACCAUCCAAGGAUGUUGCGCCUUAGCAAUCGAUACACCACCUCCAAUGGUCUUCACAAUCUUGUGGUGCACGAUCAACCAAACCACUAGGGUAAUUCCUGCAAGCAAUCGAGUAACAAGCAAGAACAAGUAACUCAAUUGCAAAUAUGGAGAUGAAAACCAAUCUGAAAUCACCAAGUUGGGGUUCUGAAUCGAAUAGAAUGGAUGGUCUAGUCGACACACGCUUCUACAAGGAAGUAGCAAUGGCUAAACUUUUAACAAAACAAAAACCAAGCUGUUUGUGGUGGCUCUAAUCCUUAUUAAUACCUAGGAGGAUGACCGGGGGGGUCCUAGUGUCGUGCUCCAACCCUAGGACAUGUCCUUAUUGGACCCGACUUGAUACAAGGCCCAUCGGGCCAAAAUAAGGUGAUCUAGCACCUUUGACAGAAAAAUCUCUUGGUAGUAAUUUGAUCAUUACAUCCGCCUCAGGAAAGAUAUGGACAUCAAUCGAAAUUCAUAUGAAAAUAGACUUCAUAAGGAUUCCAAAGAGUAAUUGAACAUCCAAAAAGGAGUCCGGAUGAGGUUGUGGCAGUCGUCGCAAGUUGGCACAGUGCUGCAGUCCGAAUUCAGCCCCAAAACAUGUUGGAUUUGAUCUCUUUCUUUCCUUGGGCCAAAAGUGACGUGAUGGCCUGGUGAAGGACAUUGGUAAUUCUUGGCCCCCAAUCAAAUUCUUUGGUCCUCCAUGCCUUUCAUGUAUGUUUAACACUUUUUUGAUCCAUGUAUGUGUUUCUGAAAAUGACAAUGAUCACACAUCAUGGUGCUGCAUCGAUUCAUCAAAUGUAUCAAAUGUAUCAAAUAUAAUCUUCAUAAAGAAUUAUUUCACCUUUGAAUCAAAAUUUGUCAAAUGUGGUUGUAUCCGAGCAGGUGAUGUCCUCAUCAAGGCACCUGGGUUACGUGCGUGGCUAUGAUGUCCUCAUCAGUUUCCUAAACCGAUUAAACCAAAUUAGGUAGGUUUAGCGCACUUUUGGGUUUUUACUCAAGGCUAUCUCAUAUAGGACAACUUUGAACACUUUUGGUGUUGUCAUUCUUUAACGUUGCGUCCCUCUUGAUAGUAUGGUAUACAUAUACUCAAGAUUUAAAUAUGAGCAUCAUUUCAUCCACUUGAGCUUGUUUGUCUUCAUCCAUGACAUACUUGAUAAUUGUCAACUUGAGAGGUUUUAACAUUGCAUAAUAGCCAAGAAAAUCUAUCUUAAGCUAGUGACUUAGGAUUUUCCAUUAUAUAUGAUCAAAGUUAUAUUCUCUUAUCCAUAAGUCGGUCCAUCAUAUGAUCCAACAAAUACUUGAUUAAUUGCAUUGCUUCAUCCUUGAAGACUUGAUUUGAUACCUUGAAAUACGCCAAGUACUAACCCCUUCACCCUAGUAAAGAUUCCAUGGACCAAGCAAUCACUUGUCCUAUCUUCGCUUUGUACCUUGGUGCCAAUCCCUUGCUUGACUUCUUCACCCGAUCUUGCCAAUUUUAAGUUUAUAUUUUCUUUUACAUCAACAAUGAAUACCCACUUGAAAUCCAUGUCUUCAAAUUAAAUACUUGAUCUUUGAUUCACAUUUGAAUAAUCCAUUAACUUGUUCACAAGCUUUCAGUUAAUGAGUCCAAAGAUACCACAUACAACCUUGUCUUCUUGAUCGUUGAUACUAUCUUGUCCUUUCAUCUUCAUUUUAACUUCUACAAGUCAAAACCUUUGACUUAGAGAUCAAAGCUAGCACAUAAAACCAUGUUUGUUGCUCUGCAUACUAGCUUGCCAUUUCUUUUACAUAAGUCAUUUCGAUCAAUUUUUGCAUCCCAUUUUGCCAACAAGCCUCCAUAUUGUUUAAAGGCCAACUCAUGCAUAUAUCAACACAAUCUACUGAUUUAAUAAAAAAUUUUAUGAAGUCACAAUAUAGUCAUAAGAAUAAAUUCCUACUCAAAGCUUUUAGCAAACAAGUUAUUCCUUGUCAUUUAUAAUGUUAUUCCCAUGUGAAUAAUAUUAAUGUGAAUCUAUUUAGCAAACAAAUUAAUCUAUUUCUUAAUGUGAUUCAGAUGGGAAUAAUAUUAUAAGAAUAUUUCUUAAUGUUUACAAAUAAAUUAAUAAAUAGCUUUUGAAUUUCUUAGAUAUAUCAUGAGCUUCCCUUUAAUAUGCAUAUCAUGAGCUCCCACGUAAUAUGUGCUUUAAAGAAAAUUUCAAAGAUUUGGGAUCACAUGCCAAAUGCACAUAUGCAAGAAUCCAUGAUAGCUAUCGCUCUCUCAGGUGCAAACCUUAGUGGGAGGCUGUGUAUGCUGGGACUCGGUAGUCACCGGUAGAAAAAGGGGGUACUCUUACUCUCUCUGGUGCAAACCCCAAUGUAAAGAAGAAGAAAUUAUCACCAUGUGCACUGUACGCAACUAUAUGUAUACAAUUGACUUCUUAUAGUCCCUAGAACUCAAAUAUUUCUUAAUGUGAUUCACAUGGGAAUAACAUUAUAAAUGACAUGGGAUCAGUCUCGCGCCAGUUUUGUAGAAGUUUCUUCACCAUCAUGGAGAUUUUAUUGCACGUCGAGACUUCACACAGCCUACGGGGAAGUCCAACCAUGAAUCACAGGUGUAUGGGUCUAAAAUGAAGCCAUGGUUCUAGGCAUUAUUAUUGAUAAGUUGUUUAUAUGAAGAACCCUUGAGGGAUGACAUGUCCUAGUUAUUGAGAGAUAAUAAAGCCCUAGAUCUUGAUGGUUUUCGGCAUAAAAUCUGUCAAGUAUUCAAAUAUGUUUUUAAGAUAGAUUUAAUGAUUGCAUUUCAAGAUCCACAAUGAAGCUCAACAAUUAAUGUGGCAUAGCCUUUUAACUUUGGAUAAUCACUCUCCUGCCAAAGAUACAUGCACAAUGACUAAAAAAUAAAUUGAACGUUAGCUUGAUAUUCACAAAAGUUGUAACCAAUAUAAUUAGCAUUUAAGUUAGAUUAAAAUACAAUGGAAGAACCACUCACGAGACCAUAUAUGAACUGGAUAUGAAGAAACUUGAUGGGGUUAUUUUGAAAUUUGGUUUUGAAAAUAUAUGACAAUGUCAAAUUAAAUGGUUAUUUUUACAAUAAACCUGAGGAUGAAUGGUUUCUCUGAGAAAUGGUGUAGGUCAGUUUUGUAACAUAUGUGGGAAGGUUGGAAUCAAGGCCAAUGAUACUACUCGUUACCUCCAAACCUACUCAUAAGAGGUCUAAUACAAGGCAACUCGUUAUCACCAAUCAUGUUCAAUAUUAUAACUAAUUUUCUCAACAUUAUAACAUUUGAAAAACAACUGUGCAUAAAUUUCACUGAUAGUGCCUCAUUAGAUGAUGCAUUGUCAAUUAUAUAUACAAUUUGCAAAUGAUACCACUCUCUUCACCAAACACAGUGUUGAGCAACUAAUUAAUAUGAAGCUUUGUGCUUUUGAGAAACUCUUUGGUGUUAAAGAUUAAUUUCUACAAAAUUGUGAUUUUGUUUUUUAUGAAUUGGCCAAGGUUUUUUUUAUGAACAGUUAAUUAUUUUAUGUGAUAUUGGUGCAUAUCCUGUUAUCCAUUCAGAUAUCUUUGCAUCCCUACAUGUCAAACAGAUGAGAAGUUAGAAAGGCAAACAUUAUCUGUUGGGUGAUGAAAAUCCUUAGAAAAUACAUUAUUAAAAUAUUCUUCCUCAAUAAGACAUGUUAUGAAGCUUCUAAGUUCUAAACAUUUCCUUCUUCCAUCAAAUUCCACAAUGUGUUCAAGUUAAUUGUGAACACUUUUCUUUGAAGACAUCUUUUAUGGACGCACUUCACAGCCCCAACAUUCUUCAUGCAGUUGGAUGUAGCUGCAUAUUUGUCUUACAACUUUGUAUCAACAGGUCCCAUACAUUCUCGUUGAAUACACACGUUUUACAUUUUCGUUAGCGUUUCUCACCCUAACCUACUAGAUCCCUUUGUUAGCACAUACAAUGCAUUGUGAGUAAUGCUACACCUGCAAAUAAAUUCUUAAGAAACUCCACUUACAUGUAGAUGUGGCAUGUGGGCAACAACAGCAUGUAAUUAGAGUUUUUGUAGAACUUUCUGUAUAUAUAGCAUUAAUCAUGCAAUGCUCUCUCAUGUUCCUUGCUUGAACCCAAGGACUUAGUUGCUCGGGUGACUGUUACAACUUCAACGACCAAUAUUCAGAUUCACAUGUUCUUUAGUUUCAUAUAUGGAUUUACAUUUAAAGUACAUAUGGACAACAAUUUACCUAAGAAAAAUUUGGAUCCUUAAAAGAAAAUUAAGACCCUCCUAUCCAUACAUAUAUGUUCAUAUGUGGUUCUGUUAAGACUGAUAAUUUUCAAAUAGAGGCUAGGUGCGGUUGGCUCCACCUUGUUGCAUCUCUCUAACACAAAGCAAGAAGUCAUCAAAGGCUGAGUGAACUUCACUUUGGCUCAGCAGUUUUAUGAGAUUUGUGCAACUCCAAUUUGGGUAAACUGGCAGUAGUUUCUGAUCAGUUUGAUGACCACUAAAUACGCAGGCAGGUUGACAAAUCAUUAAUUCAAGGUUACUGUUUAAUUAAUUUGAAUUGUACACCUCGAUUUCAAAUUGAAUUUGGUUUAUUACAAGCACAACGUAACAUAAAAUGCAUAUGAUGACUUCCGUGGAACUUCUAAAUUUAUGUUUGACUGUUGUACAAAAAAUGCAAAAUAUUGAUUGUUCUUACUGGAAUACACAAAAUCACACAGUACAAUAUACAAAGCUGACUAUCACUGUGCUGUAUUUCAACUGAACGUUUCAAAUAUAUUUAUGGUUUUUGGCAUUCUCUGCAAUAAAGGUUUUCAACAUUUCUAGGUUGUGGGUCCAAGUAUAUUCGUUUGCAAGCUGAUCUCUCUACCUUCCACGUUCAAUGAGCAGUUUAGAUCUGGAAAAACAGAGGAUCAAAACACAGGUUAGAAGAAAAGAGUUCUUUCUCAGAAUAAUGCAUUUACUAUGAGUGAAGUUUGUAUGUAUGCUUCAAAAUAUAACUACAAGCUUGUUUUUAGUUUCAACAGAGGUACUAUUAGAUUGCAGAGACAUGCCUCAUUUAUCAUGAUGUAAGAAUCCCACAUAAAAUUCAACCAAAUACAAAUGCCCCAAACCACUUAUUCGACAUGAACCUACAAAGUAGGAAUUCAGAGAAUAAGGUUUAAGCACCCCGCUGCAAUCUGAAUAUAACUAAACAAGAUUCAGUGUAAGGACAUAUACUUCCUGUUGCAAUCUGAUUCGUCAGAUAAGUCGACAGUUGAAACCUGCCAUGCUAAAUGUCCAGCUGCAGCUGCCAGAAAAGGAUAGUAGGGCGAUGCUGUUCCACAUGAUUAAGGUAAGUAUUCAAUAAUCUAAUGUGAAAUUAUAAGGAUUUUACUAAAUAUGAUAUAGCAAUUGUGAUGCUUAGCACCAACCAAGGUGAGCAUUGUAGCCAGUUAAUACUAAGCUGCUAAUGCAUGCAGCUCCAAAACCACUGAGCCAGUACUUGGUAUUGUCUCCAAACGUUAUGGCUGUGCUCUUAACUCCUGCUUUGAAGUCAUCCUUUUGGUCCUGAAAUGCAUGCAUGUACAUUGUAAAAGAACCUAACAAGACGGUUUCCAAUGGGAAAACUACAAAUAUAAAAAUAGAACGAUCAAUAAAUACCUGAUGCGCGUAUAUUGUGUCAUAUACCAGUGCCCAACAUACGACAGCAAAAUACAUUGGAAGGAGGACAGCAUGAUCGAAGCUUUCUUUAACAGCAGAUGAUCCUAGGAGAACGCCGUAGCUGACGGUGAAGCCAAGAUAGGCUUGAGGCUGUUAUAAGUGGAUUAAUGGGCAAGUAUGUGAACUCUGCAUAAACAAUAAUGCAUUUAAUUCAACCCUCAUUGUGUUCCAUGCGUACCCAGUUUGUGAGCCUCUUCAUCAGGGGAUAAGAGAAAGCCAGAAUAAGCCAAGAAGCUCCCAUAAUAAUGCUAUAACAAGAACACAGCAAAUAAUUACAGGUGAAUAUAUUAGUAUACGUAUAUUAUUAAAAAUAAUAAAUAUAUGAUACAACCACCAUAGAGAGAUUAUUAAGGGAAAUGAUGUAGCAACUAAAAUAUAGAUUAACACACAUCUGGACUGUAAAUAUUCUUUUCAGUGUUCCACCCUGUCCACCAAAUGGAUUUUCGUACUGUGAAUCAUGCAACUCCAUGUAGGGAUUCCUGCCAGUUCGUAAUGUUCGAAUCUGGAUAAUUUUUAGUCAAAUUUGAUAUUUUGUUAUGUUAUGGUCAACUUUUGCAAAUUAUUUUGUCAUACGUCCAGUUUCAUUUAAAAGGUCGGUAACUAGCCACCUGUUGUAUCCAUAGUGUUUUUCCUACUUCACCUCCUUCUUUCACUACAUUCUCCCAUAGUACUAAGCAUACCGUUUGUUGUUUCGCCUCAUCCAUCAUGCUUAAUGUAUCAUCUACUACUGUGUAUAUUCUAUUUUAGUGUUCAGUUUUUUCUCUCUUUUAUUUCUUUCCUUAUAUACUUUUUUCCUUCUUCAUACAGAAACACUAAAUAUUUACGGUUUUCAGUUAUGACAAAAUAUAUUUUAGUUUGUCCAUGAAUUACAAAACUACAAAAAUUAGUUGGAUGAAUGCAAUUUUGAGAUCAUAUCACUUGUACACUAAACUUGUAGAUUUAGGAUAUAAAUUUCAGAUAUGUAGUUUUAUGAUACAUUAACACAUGAAAUCGAUAUGUAGUUUUAUGAAGUUUAUUCUAUUCAUAAUUUUUAUGUAGCUUACAUAUUGGUAUCCUGCUAGUCCUUUUUUAAGGUAUAGCCUUAUAGUCCCAAUGGCACCCAAACAUAGUAAAAAAAAAUGCAGUUCAGUGACACUCUUGGAAUGAAGGUUAUGUCUAACAUACCUACGGUUAUUCAGUUGAAGAAGAAAACCGAGCCACAGUAGAACCUGAAAUACAAGGAAGUAAAAUCCUUGAGCAGGGGUUAGAGCACGUGAUGCAAGAGGCCUGCUUUUUGUCCGCUCAACCUACAAGAGAAACAUGCUCGUUAGAUGCCAUGCAGCUUCCUAGGAAAAUUCAUUGAGUAACAAUAACUUUGUGCAUUAGCUUUUUUUUUGGCUUAAAUUAACUUCAUGCAUAAGCUUGAUCUAAAUGUUGGUGUUACUUGACAGGGGCAAAAACAACAAUUAACCUAAGAUCAUUAUUUGCACACCUUAGAUUUAUAUGACAGAAGGUAUAUAUAUGCAAAUAUAACAAUUUCUAGAGUACCUCUUAAAUCUUAUUUCAGUUUGAUGGUUGCAAACAAUCUUUUAGGCUCUUUUGACUCGUAGGUAAAGUAAGGAAACUUUUAAGUGACACCAACUAAAAACAUCACUCUAAAAUGAAAUGAAAAGGAAAGAAAAAUCACCUUCUUAUCAAUGUCCCUAUCGAGAAGAUCAUUCGCUGCGCAAGCAGCACACCUCAAGAAAACCGAGCCAAGUCCAAAGAGUGCCAGCAUUUUCAUGUCUGGGAACUCCCCUUUUGUUCGAUGCUAUUGCAAUUGACCUGUAUAAAGCAUAAGGAUGCAGCCUCUCUUCAUCACUAAGACAACAUACGGUGGAACCUGUCCACCAGGAUUUGAGUUCUCAACUCAUCACAUGUACUCAUAUUUUUCUGAAUUUAUUUCAAAAUUUAAUUGGCGUUGUUCUUUCAAUGAUAGGUGAUGUACCCAUGGACAAUGAGGUGUUUGUGAUGACUUGGGGAAUCUUAAGAUUUGCCGGCCCAGUUUCUCGGAAGUGCUUAUUCCGGCAAGGUUGCGGGCGUGUAUUCAUGGAGUGAGUAUGUAUAUGUGUAUGUGGAUAUCUGCGUCUAUAGAUAUUGUGAUUCGAAAUAUAUAUAUAUAUAUAUAUAUAUAUAUAUAUAUAUAUAUAUAUAUAUAUAUAUAUAUAUUUGGGUAGAGCAUAGCAGGCAGGUGCGUAGAGCCAGGCGGUGAUCUUCAACCCUAGGCCGAUGAAAUCGUGGGGGCACUGCCUGUGGCAAGCAGCUUUGCGACGACCCUAGUAACAAGUCCACUUGUGCUAUGUUGAUAUAGCAGAACAAAAAUACACACUAGUACGUACACUCAAAGGUUGAGAGUAGUUUGUGUAAUUUGUAUCAUACUUAUACAUACAUUUCAUGAUUAGGACGGAAGGCCACCUCGUAAAAUAGGCUAAACAACGUAUUGAUAUUUUUUUUUGAAACGAGUCAGCAGGAGAGCUGCUGCUAUAUUAAUAAAGAGGAAUGCCCGACGGGCAGAAACAAUGACAGGUCAAAACACUCGGAACUCGGCUAGCACCCGGAAAAGAAAAAAGGUGCCCAUAUGUAAACUCAAUUACACCACGUGGUAUCAAGAAACCGCUCUAGGUGCUUAGCACCUACCGCCACCCAUGCGGCUGCCUUAUCUUUUAUCUUGGUCACUAAGCGAAGGAGAGGUUGUUCCAUCACCUGCCCACCUAUGUCCUACGCGGCUACGCCCCUGCCGCCAUCUCCGAGCCCCUACAAACGCCAGUGCUAUAUCUGCCCUCAAGGCAGGUAUGUAUCGUUUCAGUGAGCCCCUCCAAACGCCAAUGCUAGCUGCUACAGUUGGUGGUUUUUUUUUAUUCACGUGUGAAUCUCAUCUCCGAAAUUUUCCUCAAGAACUGAUUUAGAUAAUCAUCGGUCAGAUUUGAUUUCAUUUGAACCGGUUCUACAUGUGCUAAUUUUGCAUUGACCACCGAUCUUUAUCCGACAAACCCCCCUAACCGACGGUGAUGGGGGGUUUUGGGCCAGCUGUGAUGAGACUCCCUGUAGUAGUGACAACUUUAAUGACCAUAUUCAGAUUCACGUGUUCUUUAGUUUCAUAUAUGCACUUACAUUUAAGUACAUAUGGAGAACAGUUCACCUAAGAAAAUCUUGGAUCCAUAAAAGAAAGAUAAGACCCUCCUAUCCAUACAUAUAUGUUCAUAUGUGGUUCUAUUAAGACUGAUAACUUUCAAAUAAACGCUGGUACGGUUGGCUCCACCCUUUUGUUUCAUAUCUCAAACACAAAGCAAGAAGUCAUCAAAGACUAAGUCACUACUUAAAAAAAGAUUUGUAGGGAUGCUCCAAUUUUUUUCUAUGAGCGGCUGAAAAGAUCACUCGCUCCUGCAAAAUGAGAGGGGUUACUGUAGUAUCUGAUAUGUCCCUGGAGAAGCAUGUGCAGGGACGGGUCACAGGGGAUAAGAUAAAAAUCUUAUCCUCCCCGUGGCUGGCCACCCGCGGCCGCAAAAGGGAUAGCAACACUAGGCCGCAGUGGCCGCCCACGGCCGCAGACACAUGCGUGCGCGGGACAGCUAGCUAGCUAGCUCCGGCCGGCCGGCAUGCGGCCGCUAGCAGCUUUCUAGCUAGCUAACUGGCCGCGCACGCGCGGCAGGCAGGCCUUGAGUUGCAAGCCGGCCACUGCAAUGUAUGGUGCGGCUACACUUGGCCAUGGCUGGCCACGGCUGCUCACAAGGCAACGCCAGGCAGCGGCAGGACCUCUCAGCCUCGGCUGAGCGAGCGCACGUAGCACGUAGCAAGGUACAAAUUUUGACAAAUGAUGUAUUUGUUACCUUAUGAUAAGAAAAAAUAGUGCAGGAUUAAAUUUUGGAGUAUAAAGGAUGUAUUUGUUGCUUUACUUUGGAGUUGUUUUAAUACAAAAUAAUUUUUGCAAUAUUUUAUAUAAAUUUGAUAUACGUGCAUAUGAUGAUGAAGUGCGCCUAUAUUAACUUUAAUGUAGGAUUACACAACUAUAUUGGAAAGGUAGUAAAACAAUGAAUUAAUCAUUGCAUCUGCUCUUCCAGUAGAGUUGUGUAAUCUUGCAGAAAUAGGCAUUAAUCUGAUGCAUGAACUAAUUUUUAAGCAAAACAUACUUGUAUAAAUUUCAAAAAUGUGCAGAUGAUGAUGAAUUGGCCUACUAUUCCUAUUGCAUGAUGACACAGCUUGAUUGGGAAGGUAGUAAAGCACUGAAAUAAUCAUUGCAUCUGCUCUCCCAAUUGAGUUGUGUCAUCUUGCAGGAGAAGGCAUUAUUCUGAUGCAUUCAUCUUAGCAUUGAAAUUUAAAUGAAAUUAUCCAUAUCCAUAUCCUUAUCCAUAUAUAUGUCUCCCAAAUACACUGUAUGUUAUGCUCCAAUAACUUUAUUAUGUAUUUGAUAAAAUUUUGAAGGACAAAAUGCCGGUACGUCACCUACCAUGAACGUAUUAUGUUUCCCCCGAAUCCCCCAACGCGGCCUGCCUGCGCUUCCUUCCCCGACGGUCACAUCCCCGAUCCCAUUACACAACCGCACUUAUAUCAGAAUGUGGUACUUACACCCUUUGUAUUCUAAUACUGAAAUUAUUACUAAUUAUCCAUACUAAUGAUUUUUUAUAAUUUGUAAUGAAGUUUGUUUCACCAAUCAAGUAGUUACGACAAGUAAUAACUAACGUGACUAAAAAGCUCCUAUGGUGGUACAUAAACAAACGAGUCUGACACAAGGUAGAUACGUGGUUUCUCUAGCCAUUAAUUCUGCAAGCAUGCAAGAGCAAAAACUUGAUCAAAUAAUUAUUAUCCAUGUCCAUUCUAUUGCAGGCAUGCAAGAGCAAGUGCUAUGAGGCGGGCACUGAGCCAAAUACAAUGUUAGACAAAUCACGUAUUUCCAUACUACAUUUAUUUCAAGAUUAAAACUUACGAAUACAAUGAGUCAGACAUCACACAAAUGUCUAAAUGCAUAUCACCAUUGUAUCAAAAGUCUGUUAUAUGUAACUAACAGAUAGUCAGUAUUUUUUAAAUUUCUUUUGUAAUGAUUUGCCAAUAUGUCUACUAACACUUUUGUUAGUUGCCAUUUGUCUCAAGGAUGCACCCUAUAAUAGCUUCAUGCACACUGACUUAUGAGGAUAUCACCAUGAUGGAUACGCACAAGCUUUCGUCUUCUCCAAGUUACAAGUCAUCACCAACUUAGUCUUUGCGUUCAGUUCGGAUUCAGCUGACCACCCUAGACGGAAACAGCGAUAUCUCCUUCAUACAACAUCGAACUGAAGAGUUCUUUGAUGGUUGGAAAGAAGAUGAUGAAGGCUUUCAUUUGGUUCUGGACCUAGCUUCAGAAAUGUUGUGGAUCAUUCUGUGUGACUACGAUAAGGUGUUGUGUCACCAGUUUUGGACCACGUUGGCUUUGUAUCGUGUCGGGCCUUAAGCCCAUGUUGUGGGUGCCCCCCUGGUUGCCCCCAACCCUAGCUCGCUCUUUUUGAUAUAAACUCAGUAGCUGCCGCUUUAGAAACUCGGGUUUUUUUAGUUCUAGUUUUUUAUUGAGAAACUGAGAUUUAUUCAUUGUAACUGUGCGACAAGUCCUUUUACUAUGAUCCAAGGCCCCUGUUCUUGUUCUCCUCGACCGUGUCGAUUAGUCCUUUCAAAUUGAGAGCUCAAACCUCUUACUUAGAUCUUUUUCAUAUACAUUUGCAAUUUCAGAUUGUGUGUUUAUACUUUCUUGCUUGUGUUUUUCGAUUUGCUUGCAGGGAAAAGCCUUCUUGGUGAGGUCAAUCAAGUUGUGCUUGGUUGAUAACCAACGGAGUAGCGCUAUAGUGGUUGCAGGGGUUCAAAUCGUAUUUGAUUGAAACCUGGAUCGUCAACAUCGAGUUCUCCACCAAUCGAAUUACCCAUAUCUAUCGGAAGAUCGGACCAGUGCUACAUCAAGUGGUAUCAAAAUUUCAGGUUGUCUGUGAGGUAUAUUAUCAUGUGUAUUUUAGAUUCAUCUUGUUUUCAUCACCUAUAGUCCAAAAAAAGCCCUAAAACACAUACACUUUCUUCUAUCCUCUCUCCUUUUUUAGCCUUUAUAAUUUCGUGUCAGAUUUGCUUUGUUGAGUUUGUGUUCGUGGUUGAGUCUUCUUGCUGGUUUAGUGUGUUUGUUGUCGUAGUUCAAUCGCCCGAUGUUGUUUUGUUACCGCCGCUAUCCCAUCCACCUUUAUCCAUACAACAAGUUGAUCCAUUGCAUUACUUGACUUGCCCCGGUACCCACCUUGUGUGAAUUCUCACCGCGCAAGCCCUAGAUAGGUUGCAAGCUGCCUUGUGCCUUUCACCUUGCAUCGCAAUCCUUCUGGAUUCAUUUGGCGACACCUAUUGCUGCACAUACCAGGGAAGCUUUGUGUAACGACCUAGAUUAAAUCAGCCGAGUUUUAAUCUUAAGACAAGUUCCCUAAUCUGAUCGACUCAGACUCCUUCAGCCAUUUUUGACUAAGUCUGGAAAAUCAGCCCAACCUAGCGCCUUAGGGAAGGUUUAUCUUUGGAAAGUUGUGCUGAACAUCAAGAAAUCCCUUUAUAGAAUUUGGAGAACAAAGUCCCUACAACAACUUUGUUAAUUGGACCUUGGACCAAUUCACCUUCGAAGCUUUCCAAAUCUGCAGCUCAAAUCAGCCCCGACCCCUGAACACCAGCCAAUUCGCCGUUUUUCUCUAAGUCCCGAAAACCAGUGUUCCUCCAAACUUUGGAGCUUUGGAUUUCUAAGUCCACCACGAUUUUGGACUUGGUCCAAUUACAAAAAUUGGACUUUAGUCUGUGUGCUACAACUCUUGUUAAGGGAGUCAAAGUGGCGCAUUUGACAAUCGGGAGAACCAGAGGCUGGAAGAUGGACCCGGUAGAGGAUCUCGCGGAUCCGUCAGCCAGAUCCGCGCCAGAGCGCGCGUGCGCCGCGCCCAGAGCGCCGCCACCACAUGGCGCAACCUCACCAGCGAGCGUCGCCUCGCCCAGUUGCCGGCCACGACAAGAUGGAUCAGCGCGCCUCUUUCCCAAUCGCGCGCAGAAGCGCCCUGCAGACUUUUCCGCCCCGUCUCGUCUCACCCGAGACCUCACCGGCCGCGCCAGGCGCACUGCCCUCCGCCGCGACCGAAGAUUGGCCGCUGCCGCGCCGGUAUCGCCUCACCUCCCGCGCACAUCCGUCUCACCUCAGUCGCGCUGCCCGCGCGCGCGCCCCGCAACGCUGCCGUCUUCACCAAUAGCCGCGCAGGCAAUGACAACUCCUUUCCCCCACCUCACCAGUAGUGUGCCCUAGCAGAGCCACUAGUUCUGCAUAUGCUCGCAUCACACCGCUCGCCCUGUCACCUCACCUGCAGCGCCUUCGCCCGCUCGCCCAACCGGCGCCCGCGUCUUCCUUUCCCUCGCAAGCGACGCCAGUGCCACACACCGGCCGAGCUGCCGCACCCAAUCUUGGGUUUGACGUGACCAGGCACGUGCUCAACCCUGCCAAUCCUUCCGCCCGGCAAAACCACGCUUGCCUAGCACUGUCUUCCUUGCCCAAUGACAGAAGAAUCCUAUCCCCGAAGCUCCACUUCUUCGGCCAAUGGAGACGCCGGCCAAUCGCCGCUGAUACAGAGCACUCCUCUUCUCCCUCGAUCUUAUCCUCACGCCGCUCAAGCUCGUUUUCUUCUGCGCAGCUAUAAAAAGGGUACUGCAACCUCUUACCAGAGUUCCCUCCACCACUACCGCCCUUGCCGCUUUGCUUGCUUGUUCUUCUCCAUCGCACUCGCCGCUGUACACUCCUCUGCUUCGCGCGCUAGUGCCGCCGCCUGAGCUCUAGGAGGAGCUCCCCCUUCUACCCAACACCGCGCCUUGCCAACCCCGCCUGCCGCUUCGCCUUCUUCCGCGCAGCGCUAGAGCUUGUUUGUUGUCCACAGGAAGCACCACCGCCGCCGGAGCACCGCCGGAUCUCGCCGCCGCCCGAAAGUUUAACGCCUUUCGUCGUUCCGCCUGAGCUUGCUUUUUCCUGACCCCAAGACUUCAUCAGUAGGACCAAAGGUGAGUUGCCAACCCCUUCCAGCUCGCCUGACCCGUGUCCGUCUCGCCCGACCCUGUCUGUUUCGCCCGACCCCUGUCCGCCUCGCCUGAGGGUUUGGUUGUGCCUUUUUCUUUGGACCAAGGGUAUCUGUGUAAAAUUUCGAGAACUUCUCUGUGUUAAAUCUGAGGACCCCAGCACAGUUAUUCCUUAGAUCUAAGGGUCAGAUCGCAAGUUUUUCCCGACCCGACUCUUUUAUCUUGUUCCAAAUCAACGGAAGCUUGAGAAAUUCAUCUUAAAUUGAGGAAAAAUCAGAAAAAUGUGAAAUCACUUGGGAUGGAAUCCUCUUUCUGAGUAGAAUCCAAUAAAGUGGACUUCACACUUUUCUUGUAGGUUUGCUAUAGUUUUUGGGCUAAAUCUUGCAAGUGUUGUUGAAAUAACCGUUUGAGUGUCUAACUCCUUGCAUUUGCAUUUCGUGUAGAGCUAAACCUUGCCAACGGAACGUACGAGCUGCAUCCGGUGCCCAAGGAUGGAGUUGUAGCUGAGCUGCUGCCUGCAGGAGCUGAAGCCGAGUACAUCGAAGAUCAGUUUGCUUCUGCCUCGCUCGAAGGCAAGCCCCGGAGCAUAACGAGUUUUUCUAAACUUGCGCAUGCCUUUUGUUGUAUGACUGUGCAUUUAUGUUACAGGAGUUGUUUGAAACCAUAGAUGCAUGACUUAGUUCCCUUUGAUCUGAACACUAGUGUGAUAGGCCGAGUAGCUGCAAUGCUUAAACAAAACUCGGUAAAAGUCGAGUGAUUUCCUGUCACUCGCGAGUUAUAGGAGUUGUUUGUUCUCCUUUUUGCUACAACUAUAAGGAUGAUGGACGGGGUAGGGCUCUGUGAACUAUUUUGGUGGUCGGUGGAUUGCCCCGUCUGUCUACUUGAAAUUGGACUAAGGUCAAGAUGUGAUAGUGUUCAUGAUCAAGUGUUUGAAAGUACUAAUCUCAUACCUAGUAUGGGAUAGGGAAGCCUAGUACCUGAUUGAACCAGGACGUGAGCGGUUCAAUCCACUGUCUCUGGAAUAGAGUUUCCCUUGCGGCCGCAUGUGGUGACAAGUGCGGUCAUAGAAUGGCAGAGGCUGGGUCUGUGGAGCCUUAUACCAAGAGAAGUGGGCCCGACACGGGUCAUGGGAUUGAUGGGGACGGCCGACAAGGGAAGCGACCCUUUGUGGUGCGCGGAUGUCGUGAGAUUAGGUUCACCAUGCAUGGUUAAGAAAUUCUAAUCGAUUCGUCUGUCUCUCACAGUUUGGGACUGCUUGAUCACUAUGCUACACUAAGCAAGAAGGGAACUUGAUGGUGAUGAUCAUAUGAAUGCUUGUCAUAAAUUGCUUGGAACUUUUGCUUGUUUAGUAUAGCUGCUAACUUAGGUUGGUAACUGAACAUAGAACUUGUGGCUAAAAUAUUAAAAGUAAGGACCUACUAUAGUCGCUUUUGGCAAAACAAACCCCUCAGCCAGAAAGCUUGCAUGUCUAGAAGUUGGUGGAUCAGUACCACCGGUCAGUUAAGUCUUGUUGAGCGUAGUCGCUCAGCCUUGUUGUGGCAAUCUUUUUAGGUGAUGUUGAAGCCCCUGAGUUUGCUGCUUGUGGCACUUGGCCUCCCCAGCUCCCUCCUGGGUGGAUGGUCGAGUGGGAUCCCUCCUCGGACGGCGAGGACAGGGACUGGUGAUGUCAGGGUUGGCCUCAUGGUGACAUCCGACCCUCGCGUUAGCUUCGAUUUAUUCUUUUUCCGCUGCUCAAGAACUCCGCAAGCUUGUUUGAAUUUCGAACCUGAGUUGUAAGAACUAAUGUACUGUUUAAUGUUGGAUGAUCUGUUGUAUUCUCUAGAACCAAUCACCUUCAUGUGAGCUCCGCUUUCUCAGUCCUAUGUAGUGGUUUAUCGGAGGAAAUCCGACGGACUGCCUAGUUUACUUGAUUAAAGCAUAAGAUCGCGUGUCAGGCGACUCAAUUUUGCUUUAGCUAAGUUAAUUAGGGCGGUUCCGCCACACUUUGCCCGUGGAUACUUGCUGAGAAGCUUUUCUCAACCGUGAUUGGUGUUGGAAGGAUAGGGAAGCUUUGCCCUAGCCGCCGCCGAUGUGUGUGCCUUGUUGUGCCUUCCAAAAACUCUGAUUCGGAGCCCCUUUCUUAAAAUAGGCAUUACUUCUUGCUGGUAACUCAGAUUGAGGCAAUUUUUUUUAAAUCAGCUGAAAUUAAAUUUUGCAUCCGGAUUUGCCAUUCUCAGGUUUGCCAAAUUCUUCUUGGAAGUGGGAGUACUUGUCGGGCAUACAUCCCAUGCCCACGAGUAGGCCCUGUGCGGCCCACUAAGGGGUGUACUCGGACAUAAUCAAUACUAGGGGGCUACGCGGCAAGAAGCUUAUCCCACUCGGACUAGUUAAGUGUGCAUAUGGAAACUACUCGGUCUACAUCGAGUAGAACUCUGUAAUCGUACGCGACUAGAAUUCAAAUUUGUAACCCUGCCCUCCCGAGUAUAUAAGGGCGGGCAGGGACCCCCUCAAAGACAACUCUCUCAACACAUCUAAGUUCAAUACAAUCAACUCACAGGACGUAGGGUAUUACGCGAUCUAGCGGUCCGAACCUAUCUAAAUCAUGUCCCUUGCGUCACCAUUGACUCCUUGAUUCUUGACGACACCCAUCGCACAAAAGACCACCUAGGGUACCCCCUAGGCAGUUUGCCGGUCUAAAACACCGACAGCUGGCGCGCCAGGUAAGGGUGGUCGCUGAGUUUUUCCGCGCGAGUUCAAUGGCACCUAUCAUUAUCAAGCCUGCUUUCACCUUCGACGCAGGCACAACUUUCGUUUUUGGAUCCUGGCUCUGCAUCACCGACGGCGCUGGAUCGUUUCAGCGCCAAAUCAUCGACAUCCAGGAGAAGAAACCUCUCGAUGAAAGCUUUUCUCAGCCGAAAACAGAGGAUUUGGUCAGGAAAAACCACAACAUCAAAAUCAGCAACACCGAGUUCGACUACGCUUCGGACUUGACCCGACUUUGGACUAGUCGAUCCCAGUACAAGUUGACUUUGACUCCAAAACGGUUCCCAUACGGACUCCGCUAUACAACCGAAGUCUACCAAGGUCUUCUCACUCGAACUCAACUCGAACACGGGGAAGACAAGGACUGUGACUACAACUCGGACUAUGCCCAAGAGAUCCCGCUAUCAGGACCAGCCCAAGGUCUGGUAAUAACUUCAACACCACAAGGCAGAUUCAUUCACUGGCCAGAAAUGAGACCAUCUCUCCUCACCCACGACUACGAGUCACACCUCGUCGCUCACAUAGACAACCUUCGGUACCAGGAAGGCGUCCCACUCACUUCAAGCCGCGAGGAAAGUUCCACAGAAAUCGCAACAUCAAGCUCUGGAAGCUACUACCCAGACAGAGAAGUCUUCGUCAUUACUCAAAAUAACAACAUGGGUACUAGCCAACAGAGAACCCCUCGACGGAUAGCACAACUCGACAACGUCUCAGAGGAGAAGUCAUCAGCUGACGCCCCACAAGAGGAAACUUCCGAUCAAAGAAACCAAAGAAGGAUGCAAAAUAUUACUCGGGCUGAACGCCGACAAAUGCUGGCUACAAACAUUCCCAUCACAAACCUGGAAAGAGCAUUUGACGCAGUACAAGCUCAAGAGCACAACACUCCACUCGUAGCAAUUGCCUCAAUCAACCUUAUAUCAACUCUCAUACCUCGAGAUAGAGACAAUGAAAUGAUAGCUCAACUUGCGCAGCGAGGCAAUGGACUAAUUGCACAACUUGCGGAACAAGCUUACAAGUUACUCGAUAAAGAAUCACCAAUCCCAUCUGUUCCUCGCAAUUCAGCUCAUCGAGAGGGUAGUAGGGGUGCUGCAGUCAACAAUGGUUUCCACGAAGCACAAUGAAAUAACAAUGAGGUAGUCAACCAACCAAGGCAACAUAGCCAAGGACUGAGCAAACGCGAAGCCCUAGUAUGACACAAGGACGUUGGAGAGGUCAGCUGCACCAAUUCCGCAAAAAGUCCUCACCAUAUCAAGAAAAAUCAUGAAGUAUCAAAUUUCAGCGACCUAUGGGAAAUAAUCAAUAGUCGACGCGAGCGAGAAGUCGACAAUUACAACCACUUUCCUACCUUCACAACUCGAGUAAUGAGGACAAGACUAGCCGAAAAAUUCAAGCCUACAGGAAUCACUAAGUAUGAUGGCAAGCAAGACCCAAUUCAAUGACUCUGAUGUUACUCGUUGGCAGUCCAGGCAGCGGGAGGCAAUAACGACACCAAAGUCAUCCAUUUUCCCAUAUGCAUGGAACCCGUGCCUCUAACAUGGCUUGAGUCACUCAAGCCCAGAACAAUUGACUCUUGGGAGGACUUGACAAAAGCUUUCACCAACAACUAUGCCGGCUCCAUGACUAGACCAGGCAACAAGAUCGACCUAAGUUAAGUAAAACAAAAAGAAGGCGAAACACUACGCGACUACUUACGAAGAUUCUUCGAAAAGAAGGCCACUAUAGUCGACAUUUCAGAAACAGACGUCAUCGAGUGCUUCCAAAAUGGCCUCUAUGAUCGAUGAACAUACCAAGACUUCGGCAGACGACGACCAACCACUAUCAAAGAUCUCAAAGUCAUGGUGCAACAAUGGGCAGAUGAAGAAGAUAAAGAGCGAGAACGGUUCAACUCUCAUCACAACUGUGGCCGCGACAAUAACAACCAUGACCAGGAUAGGAACCGACACAGCGAUACUCGAAACAACUUUUCGAGUAACCAAAAUCGCAAAUGGAAACUUGACAACACCAUUCCUUUCAUGAAUAACUCACAGAAGAAGGGAUCCCGCAAAAUUGAUGACGGACCAAGCUUCACCGAACUACUCAAAAAACAGUGCCCAUGGCACCCAACUAGCAAACACUCAGCAAUAGACUGCUACAGCAUGCGCCGAGUAAUGCAAGAUUUGUCCGCACCACCACCUCCCGAGGAGUACAACAAGAAAAAAUAUAAAGGCAAAAACAAAGUCCAUAAAGAUGAAGAAGGAGAAGGCGACUUGCAGACCGCCUCCAAAACAGUCAACGUCAUCUUUGGCGGAAUCCCGGGUACCACAUCCAAGCGAUCUAGUAAACUGGUACUCAGGGAAAUCAUGGCCAUUGAACCAACAGAUCCAACAUUGAUCAGCGGUACCCAUAACCUUUAGCAAAAGGGACCAAUGGACAAACUUUUCAGAACCAGGCCAAUUUCCCCUAGUACUCGAUCCUGUCGUUGCAGGCUCAAAACUGACAAAAGUACUCAUCGAUGGCGGAAGCGGACUCAACGUCAUUUUCGCCAAAACACUAAGGAAAAUGUGUCUUGACAUCACGGACAUGCUCCCUCCAACAGACUCACCCUUCUACAGAAUCGUACCAGGAAACGCAGCCAUACCACUAAGACAAGUCGUCCUGCCAGUUACUUUUGGAACCAAGGAACACUACCGAACCGAGUACAUUAUAUUUGAAGUCACCAACUUCGAGACCUCUUACCACACCAUACUCGAGAGACCAGCUCUGGCUAAGUUCAUGGCGAUACCACACUAUGUUUACUUGGUACUCAAAAUGCCAAGGCCCAAGGGGGAACUAACGGUACGAGGAGAUUUACGGCGAUCCUACGAGUGCGACACCGAAGCCAUGGAGAUUGCCGCAACCUCUCAAGCACCCAGCCCUAUGCAACAAGUUUUCUCAGCUUCAAAGAAACUUCACCCAACAGAACUCGAAAUACUAGAAAACAAGUUGGGUUCAGCAAAGGUGAAGCCAACAAAUGAGAAAGACUUCAAAAUAGUUGAUCUCCAGACCAGCGACUCUUCUAAGACACCUCUGAUUGGAACAGGGCUAGCCCUAAAUAGGAAACUGCGCUCAUAAGUUUUUUUCGGGCUAACCAUGAUAUCUUCACCUGGAAACCAGCUGACAUGCCUGGUGUGCCCAAGGAACUGAUUGAGUACUCUCUAAAUGUUGACCCCAAAGCUACCCCAAAGCGACAGCGCCUCUGCAGGUUUGCCCAAGAUAGACGAGAAGCAAUAAAAAAAGAGCUAGCCAAACUACUCGCAGCAGGGUUCAUCAAAGAAGUCUUUCACUCUGACUGGCUAGCCAAUCCUGUACUCGUUCGCAAGAAAAACAGCGAAUGGAGAAUGUGCGUCUAUUACACGGACCUCAACAAACAUUGUCCAAAGGACCCUUUUGGACUACCCAGGAUCGACCAAGUAGUCGACUCUACUGCUGGGUGCGAUUUGCUAUGCUUUCUCGACUGUUACUCGGGUUACCAUUAGCCUCAAAGAAGAAGAUCAAGCUAAGACAGCCUUCAUCACUCCAUUUGGAGCCUUUUGCUACAAAACAGUGUCAUUUGGAUUAAAAAACGCGUGAGCAACUUACCAACGCGAUAUAUAGAUGUGCUUCGAAAAGCAAUUGCAUCGCAACAUAGAAGCUUACGUGGAUGACGUAAUCGUCAAAACAAGAAAUCAGGAGGAUCUAAUCGUCGAUUUAGAGGAAAUCUUUUUAGGCCUACGAGCUUUUCCGAUGGAAGCUUAACCCUACCAAAUGCGUUUUUGGAGUACCUUCCGGCAAACUACUCGAGUUCAUCAUUAGCCAUCACGGCAUUGAGGCCAACCCACAGAAAAUAUCUGCCAUCACAAAUAUGCACGCACCAGCUAGCAUCAAGGAUGUGCAGAAACUCAUAGGCUGCAUGGCAGCCCUUAAUUGAUUCAUCUCAAGACUUGGAGAACGAGUACUACCCUUCUUAAAGCUUCUCAAACGACAGGACAAGUUUAAAUGGACAGAAGAGGCAGACAAAGCAUUGACGCAACUCAAAGACUUUCUGUCAAAACCACCAAUCCUCAUUGCUCCAUCUCCAAACGAGGACUUGCUCCUAUACAUAGCAGCUACUACUCACGUCAUCAGCACCACAGUAGUAGUCAAACGGUCUAAACCAGGCCACGUUUAUAAAGUCCAGAGACCCGUGUACUUCAUCAGAGAAGUACUCUCCAACUCCAAAAUUUGGUACCCGCCAAUACAGAAGCUGCUCUACGCAAUCCUGCUCACUUCACGGAAACUGCGACAGUCAUCACCGACUUCCCGCUCGACGAAAUCCUCCACAAUAGAGAUGCCACAGGUAGAAUUUCCAAAUGUGCAGUAGAGCUCGGAGCCCUAUCCUUGGACUUCAAACCAAGGACAGCAAUCAAAUCUCAGACUUUGGUCGAUUUCAUGGCUGAAUGGAUAGAGAACCAAGUGCCAACACCAGUCGAGAGGCCAGAGCACUGGGUAAUGUACUUCGACAGUUCCCUCAAACUCAAAGGAGCUGGCGCAGACGUACUCCUCAUUUCCCCAAAAGGAGACCAACUCAAAUACGUACUACAAAUCUUUUGGGAAGUCUAAAACAACGAAGCUGAGUACGAAGCACUGCUACACGGCCUUCGUCUUGAAAUCUCCCUCGGAAUCAAAAGACUACUCGUAUACGGCGAAUCACUAGUCGUUAUAAACCAAGUCAAUGAUGAAUGGGAUUGAAACAAGGACAACAUGGACGCCUACUGCAAAGAAGUCCGUAAACUGGAAAACAAGUUCUCAAGCUUGGAAUUUCAUCAUAUCAUCCACAACAACAACGUAGCCAAUGACGUAUUAUCAAAAAUGGGCUCGACUCGUGCAGAAGUUCCAGCAGGAAUUUUUGUAAACGAACUCCAUAAACCGUCCAUACCAGAACAAGUUACACCAUCAGUGGUUAAGACUACAGAAACUAAUCAGGAAAUCAUGAUGAUAGAAGUCGACUAGAGGACACCCUUCAUCGACUACAUCUGACAGAAGUCAAGCUGAGCAAAUCUCCCGACGAGAAAAAAUUACAUUCUAGUUGGAGACAAACUCUACAGAAAAAGCGCAUCAUCAGGGGUACUCAUGAAAUGUGUCACCCGAGAAGACGGUCAAGAAAUCCUAGAAGAAAUUCACAAAGGGAUCUAUGGCAACCAUGCAUCUUCACAAACAAUCGUAGCCAAAGCUUUCCAAGCAGGCUUCUACUGGCCCAUGCGUUGGCCGAUGCAGAACAAAUAGUCCAAAAAUGGCAAUCUGUCAAUUCUUCACUAAACAGCAACACGUCCCUACCUACAAACUAGUCACAAUCCCUCCAACAUGGCCUUUCGCUUGCUGGGGGCUAGACAUGAUAGGACCACUGCCAACUACGCUAGGAGGUUUCAACCGAGUACUCGUGGCCAUCGACAAAUUCACCAAAUGGAUCGAGGUCAAACCAGUCACUUGCCCCAAGGCAGACCGAGUCCUCGACUUCUUAGACAAAAUCGUACACCAUUACGGUUUUCCAAACAGAAUCAUCACACACCUGGGAUCCAACUUCAACAACCACGACUUCUGGGAAUACUGCGAGAAUAGCGGAAUUGAUGUCCGCUACGUCUCAGUUGCUCACCCACGAGCCAACGGACAAGUCGAGCGUGCCAACGGCAUGAUACUCGAAGCUCUCAAGAAAAGGCUACACAAUAUCGGCAAUACAAAAGGAGGCAAAUGGCUCAAAGAGCUAACUAAUGCUCUGUGGCGACUACGAACCCAACCAUGCAAUACUACCGGGUUCUCCCCCUAUUUUCUGGUAUAUGGCUCAGAAGCUAUCUUACCCGCGGACGUCAUGUGGCAGUCUCCUCCAGCCGAACAAUACGACGAAGGAAUGGUAGAAGAAACAAGACGCACGGAUCUGAACAGUCUAGAAGAAAUGAGAUGCGCAACAUUAGUUCAAUCAGUCAAAUACCUCGACGGGUUAAGACGAUACCACGACUGCAAUGUUAAGGAGCGAUCCUUCAACCUAGGCGACAUAGUCCUCAAAAGAAUCCAGGACACAUCAGGGCUACAUAAACUCAAUUCACCAUGAGAAGGUCCCUACAUCGUAUCCAAGGUCAUAGGACCCAGAUCUUACAGACUACAAGAACUUUCAGAAGAACAAGUACCAAAUUCCUAGAAUAUAGAACAUCUCUGUCGCUACUACCCAUAGUAGACAAAUGUACUCGAGCCUUUGCCCCAAGCAUCUCAAAACAAACUAAUUUCAACUACUGGGAGCCGACAGCCCGACUACCGACUACAAAUGCUCUACUCUUAACACAAGACAUUAUCAAAGGUUAGCAGGCACCCCAGCCUCAGUACGAGUUCCAAAACUUCAAAGGGCAAAGCAAUUUUUUACUCGAGACUGAUUCAAGCAGAAAAUUUUGAAGUUACAUGCGAUUACUCAUAAUAGAGUAUGGGUACUCAAAAUACAACAUAACAGCACAACAAAGACUACAAGCAAUUGCUUACUGGCGGUCUGCAUUUAAGCCUCAGGCUUUUACAAUAUUACAAGGCCACAUAGGCCUAUCGACUACUACAAAGGGAAGGGCCCACACGCAAGGAAGCUGCGCAAAACGCAGCCAUAUCCAGGUCCUCCUCCUAUACAACACUAGGAACUCCUACACCGCCGCUACCUUGACAGUGGCAACGAUGAAUCCCGAGUGCUGCAUAACGGAGAGAAAAAAAAGGCUGCUCUCUUGCUAGCCUUGGCGAGCCGUCCCACACUGCAUACCACACCUCCACCUCUAAGAGAGCCAGAUAAAGACCGCGGCACUCAUCACCCAUCACUCGCAAGUUCCAGCACGGACUUAGCUGGAUCACGAGCUGCAAGAUGAGGCAUGCGACAAACCCUCCUACGAGGAUUCUUCUAGCAUCGCGGCUAUCCCUACAAGCGCUAGAGUCUGUGGAGGGAAGGUGGCUCUAAUCUACGAGGAAUCUUCUAGCACCGGAGUACUCUUUGAAGGCUCUCUACAAUCAAAUAACAGCAACUGAAAGCAAUCCAUCACUACUCAAGCCUGAUCCUGAUCGACCUCCAUGGCAGUCUAUUUAUAGCCGAACGUCACAACUACCAACCACUCGGGAGUUACUAUUCGCUCAUGACAACAAAAGUACUGAUGAGUCAAGAUGCUCUCUAACUCCAUUCACGUGAAAGCAUUCAUGCCACAAAAGACAAAAGAGUACAGUACACCCGUGCACCCCUCCCCCCUCCAAGAAUAAAGGGACAGAGUACUUGACAACCGCGUGACUACUCGACUAAGUACUCGGAUUUGCUCCCAAUGACAAGGAUUGACAAUCAUUCAUUUCAAACAAAAUUCAAAACAUUGUCUCAAGUACUCAGCAGAUUACAAGGCUACACAAGCCUAUGGCUCCUCCAAAGAAACAAACUCAGACAUCUUCGAAGCAAUUGGCUCAGCCUCCUCUAGAUACUGCGCAUAAGCAUCCUCCGUACGGUUCCGAGCCACACCAUCACCAGCCGUCAUUAAAUCUGCCCUCGGGUAAUAAGACUUGACCACCACAAGGACUUGUUUACAAACAGCCUUACAGAGGCCAGCAACCUUACACGGAGAAGUCUUCAACCGCUCGACUAGUGAACGGGGCUCCGCAUCAUCCUCAAGAGGAGCAAUGACAUUUACCACAUCCCACGCAGCAUCAGUUAACUCUUGGAGCUCACCUCGAAGUCUUCCUAUGGUCUGGCCAUGAUCUGUACAAGCCACCAUGGCCAUAGCGAGUAUAGCUCCAUUCUGAUUCUUCCUGUCCCUCUGAUGCUCACAUGCAGCCUGAGCUUCAGCUAGCGAUGCGCGGAGAUGAUCAGCUUCGUCAACUACUCGGUCAUGGGCAUUCCUCCAAUCAAGAAGCUGACUACUCGCAACAGCCUCUUUCCUCUUGAGAUCUGCAACAAGGCAAUAGUUCAAAAAAAACCCUCGACUAUAGUCGAAAAUACUCAAAAAUCAUGAGUACUCACCUUGAUACUUCUUAUUCAAAGACUUAUAGCGGCUCUCCAACUUCUCUUGCAAUACCUCAUGAUCCCUCUGCUCAACGGCAAAAGACUUCGCAGCCUCCUCAUGAACCUUCAAGGACUCAGGGAGACGGAUGCACUCUUGCUCCAAUUGCGCUAGCCGCUGCACAAAAUCAUUUCGCUCCUGGAGGGCCCGGGCAUUCCUUUGAGCUCUAUCAUAUAGAUCCUGCAAAUAAAAGCAAAUCGUCAAGUUUUCAGCAAAAAACAGUCAGACAAAAGAGACAACACACUUGAAAGCUCUGGAUAGCUCUCCGAAACUCCGACUCCGACGGAAGCUUGAGUACUAGACCUUCAUCAUUCUUUGCAACAUCAGGCUCUGGAGCUGCACCCAAGGUUGUACCUGAAACGACACACAUUAGUCAUUUCAGGACACAAUACAACGACUACAACACCUGUAUCUUGACUACAUACCUGGUGCACCUGCCUCAUUGGCCUUAGCCACAUCACCUAAAGCUAGAAUACCACCAGUAGACAUCGAGGAGGGUACACCACCAGAACCUAAAGGAACCGCAGGGUUCUCCACCGAGCGGAGUACUUCUUGAAGCAUGGACAUGGUGGCACCAAGACGACUAGUGCCAACCUCGGAUACAUCAUCAACGGACAAAUCAACCAAGGGAGUAGAAAGAGUAGUCGAAGGACAAGACUCCACUCCUGUGUCCACAGGGAUAGUGUCCUCCGCAUCCCUGCAUCAAAAUACAAAGUCAUCACACGCCUUUCAGAGAAUUUGAAGAUACGUUACAAAGAAAUAUUCAAAAACUUACCGAGAUGACCGUGGCGGUAAUCGCACGUGCUUCUUCUCAGCAACGGGCGGUCGAGUACUCGGCACCCCAGGGUCAGCCGAGGGUACAACAUUUUCGCCAAGUCUUGGAAAAAUCAGAGAUAAGACUACAAUAAUUUCGGACUAACAAAAAUAGCUAGAAAAAACUCACCACUAGCGAUAACAUUGGACAACAAGGAGCUAGUGGUGAUCACCGGCGAUUCUACCUUCACAGCAUCCGCCACCCCAACAGGCAAACCUAAAACUGCCUAGUCAGGGACCAGCAACUCGGUAGCCGAUGGGGUCGGGACUGCUGGCUCGGGGGCUGCUCCAGAGUCUGCAAGUGGCACCCCCACCGGCAAUUCUUCAACAGACGCAACACUAACAUCAUCCUUGGCGGUAGCAACUACCUCAUCAGAAGUAGCCUCAUCACCACCAAGGGUCACGUCGACAACCUUCUCAGUCAACUAAAAUCAUCAAAGGAUUACAGGACAACUCUACCAAAAGUUACCAAUGAAUGCACGACUACGUACCUUGGUUCUCUACAACCUCUCAGGGGUCAGACUCGAGGUUGAAACAGACUUCGCAGCAGGCCUCUUCGGAACUACUCACCGUUUUUUCGCAGGAGGAGAAGGCUCAUCUUCUGAGUCAUCAACGACUAACUCCUGCUCAGAAUGUGCCAGAUAGCCGAAGAGAACUCAGGACUGCAAACGAGUUGUUACUCAAAGAUGUCCCAACAUCUCAAAAAAUACAAGUCAAGCAAAAGAACAUACCUCUUCUGGCCCAUACCAACUGUCAAAUUGGCGAAGGACUCCAGGAAUAACCGGAACUCCCUGAUAAUUCCUAAAAAACUUUGUUAGCAGUGCCUCCACAUCAUCAUCAGAUAUAUCAUCAGGAGACAUACGCGAUGGGUCAUCAAAGCUCGAGUACUCUGAACCCAAGUGAGCCUGCUGCUGCAAAGGCUGAACUCUCCUCUUGAGAAAACUGGCAGCCACAUUAAUGCCAGUCAAACCCAACGACUUCAAUUCAGCAAUCUGGCUCAGUAGGUUGGAAAUCUCAGGAGUAUCCUUAGGCUCGCUCACCCAGUUCUCCGCAUGCUUCAGGGCAUGACCGGUGACUACCGGCAAACGAGGGUCAUGAUUCCCAAUAUAAAACCACCACCUCUUCCAGUCACCGUGCGAGUCAGACAAGUUGUAGUCAAGAUAAGCACCCGAGUUCCUAAGUUGGAACCAAGCACCUCCAAAAACUUCUAUCCUAAUCGCACUAGGAUGAGGCUUACAACGAAAUAGUUUCCUAAAGAGCUCAAGACUAGGAGGAACACCCAGGUAUACUUCGCACAGGUGUACAAAGAUGGACAUAUGAAGCACACCAUUGGGGUUCAAGUGAACCAACUGAAGCUUAUAGUACUCGAGGAUUUCUCUAAAGAAGUCGGAAGCAGGCACUGCCAAUCCUCUCUCGACAAAGUGCGCAAGCAUGACAGUCUCGUUUGGAUGCUCCUCAAACUGCCACGCAUUGCCAAAGGCAGGCCUCCACUCGAGUUGAAGCCUAGGUUGUAGAAGUUUAGCAUCAACCAAAGCUUGAACAGCCGCCUCCCUCAUCACAGAAUUCUGCCAGGUGAUCCCAGGCGGCAGCAGUGCAGUUUGGUUAGUCAGACCGCACUUCGGUGCUAGCAGCACUAGCUCCUUCCCCUACUUGGAUUUAGACCUCAACUUACCCGCCGCCGUAGCCUGGCCUUGAGUCUUCUUGGGUUUCUUCCCCAUCUUCUUGGUGCACAUCAGACGAUCUCGGAGACAGCAAAGAAGAGAGGAGUCAACCUCUGAUCUCUCUCAAAAAGCAAAAAUGGUGUUGGUGGCAUUGGAAACUGCGACGGCACAACGAGGAACAGGAAAAAGGGGGGAAGGGACAAAACAGAUCUGCUAAAAAAGAAACGUAACCCCAACCAUAAGGGGGCUCUCCUGUUAUAUCUCCAUCACCUCCGAAUUUCAAGCGUCAUUUACGCAACGGUCAGAUAUAAACUAGAUUUAUUGCCAUAAUAUCCAACAGCUACUCAAAUCAAUGGGUUUGAUCACUUCAUUGACAACGAAGAAAUCGCCUAAGUGCUCAGGGGUUGCGGAUACUGUACCCGCUGGACAAAGUUUUCUUUUUCAGACUACUGAAAGAGAAACAGCCAGAAUGCAGGAUUGAUCCUAAGCCUAACUCUUCGACUCAAACUAAGGCUCGGGGGCUACUCCAUAUGGAGUGCGAUUGUCAUCGCACUACCAUAUAAUUUCUCAAGACAGAAGCAACUCGAAGGAAAAGAAGAGUACUUUCAAGCCAUGUGACAGUACUCAAGUACUUAAAGACACUACAACCACUGUUGAGAACUACUUGGAUGGUGGUCUCAAAGUACUCGGAACUAUGACGCUCGACUACAAAGUACUCGAGGGCUUGUCGGGCAUACAUUCCAGGCCCACGAGUAGGCCCUGUGCGGCCCACUAAGGGGCGUACUCGAACAUAAUCAAGACUAGGGGGCUACGCAACAAAAAGUGUAUCCCACUUGGACUAGUUAAGUGUGCAUAUGGAAACUACUCAGUCUACACCGAGUAGAACUCUAUAAUCGUACCCAACUAGGAUUCAAACUUGUAACCCUACCCUCCCGAGUAUAUAAGGGUGGGUAGGGACCCCCUCAAAGACAACUCUCUCAACACAUCUAAGUUCAAUAGAAUCAACUCACAGGACGUAGGGUAUUACGCGAUCUAGUGGCCCGAACCUUCUAAAUCGUGUCCCUUGCAUCACCAUUGACUCCUUGAUUCUCAACGACACUCACCGCACAAAAGACCACCUAGGAUACCCCCUAGGCGGGUUGCCGAUCUAAAACACCGACAGUACUCAAGCUCCAAAGUUGCAACACGCUUUUCAGAGAGCAUGUCUGAAUUUCUAUGGAACACAUCCUAACUCUAUUUGAGCUGAAACUUUUUAUGGUUCCAUCUCAUGUGAUCCUGUUUGCAUAAAAAUAUAAAAAAUUAAUUUAAAAAAAUAAAAUAAGUUGCAGAAAACAACAAUUGGAUGAAAAAACAAGGAAAAGAUAUGAAUUAUCAAUGUAUUAUUGUAGCCGAUGGAGAUCCAGUCCGUGGGGGUGUGCUUGAUGAGGCCAAGGUCUUCCUUUUCUUCUUGCUCAAUGCUUAGAUGGUAGCUUACGCUUACCCAUUGAAGAACCUUUGGGCAAAUCAGAGACUUGGGGUGUAUCAGAUCCUAGGACUGGGCGUGGUGUAGGAGGAGCAUAGGCAAUCGGAUCGCCACUCAAACUCAUGAGAGGAGCUUCAGCAUCACCUUCCUGGAAGGAUAUGAAGUGUUAUAACAGACUAAAAAGGGGGGAUAAAAAUUGUGUGUGAAGUGAUUACCUCUCCAUCGGAUGGUGCAUAGUCGGGAAAAAACCUUUUGCAGUAGUAUGCUACUGCCCGGUUCAUCAAGUGAAUUUUCCAUUCAUUCCAUCAUCGAUCAUAAGAUUCAGAUGACACUUCAGUGCCAGUCCAAUUUUGCAACUCAAAAGGAGGCAGUUAUAAAGUUAAAGCAGUCAAGCGAUCAUAUUUCGAACUGGUGGUUACUGUGUCCCUUGCCUUCACUUUAUCGACAAAGAAUAAGCUGAUUGGGACUUGGCCAAAUCCAAACUGGCAGGCAAAGGCCGAAGGGUGGUAAAACUCAUAAGAAGGCUUAUGAGAUCGGCCAUUGGCAAAACCGUCUGGGAGGAUAUAGGGAACCGCAGAUGAUUCAAAGACUGAUUUGCUCGGCUCCUUUGUGUCAACCUUUGAAAAGAUGAAAUCCUUUGGGAAUUCAAACCGAUCCACAUAUACGUAAGCACACCAAGUUAUGGCGUUCUCUCCAAAGCCGCAAUAAAAAAGUUUGAAAAAUUAGGAUGUUUUUGGUGCUGAUAGAGAGCAGUCGGCUACACUGGAUGAUGCUUCUCCAUAAGAUUUACAUCAGCGUCUGGAUUCUUCUUCUCCUUCAGCGUAGUCAUUGGGGAAGGUUCAUAUAAGAAGAUUUAUUCCCUAGCCCUUGGCGAUAUGGAUGGUGAGCUAGAGUUGGACAAACCACCAUGGGCCUUCGGUGUCGAUAGUUUCACCAGCUCACAGUUUGAUUGAUGUGUGAUGCAUCAAACGAUAUACAUAUCCAAGUAGAAAUUUUCCAAGAGGAAGUUUAUGGCUCUGGGAUAACUGUUCCGCAACGACCAACAUAUUUGCUAUAGGGCUUGCAGUGGAUCCGUAGAAUACAAACCGCUCCAGCCACAUAUUCAAGAAAAGAGCAUGCUCUUCAUCAAUGAUUAUACCAACUAUUUUACCUUAUAAGAAGGUUUGGCCUUCAGAGUGAAGGGGUCGAUUGAAGUGGUGAUGUCCAGGCCCGUUAGCAUAGAGACAUCUAGUAGGCAUAGGGACAUUGGUCCAUGACCAAACAAAAAUGCAUUCAAAGCAUCGGAUCAGAAGUAUGAGCGGCAACUAAAAGGGGCUCAUUUUUAUCCAUUUCGGCCAAAGAGAGUCUGAUACAGUGGCCGAUUCUAGAGUCCUCCCAAUUAAUUCCUUUUUCGUCUCACAUAUGAAGAUACUAGGAUCUCCAGCCAGAAAUUUUACUUGGCCAUGAGUGGAAGGUACCUUUCCAAUCUGACAGAUUCAUUGUGGCAUGCUUAUAAGGAACUCUUUGGGUCUCGGUGUUUAUGAACUCUAUCAGAUUGUUUCUACCCAUGGCCCCCAAAAAGUAUUGUGCUUGCGUAUCGGCUAUGGGAAUCAAGAGAUCAUUUCUAAGCUCCCACAAGGGGGGGCUGGGAUUGAUUAAAAAUGAGGGUUCGGUGUGCAAUGGCUAGAUCAGAUCUAAGAUUAGGAAAAGAAAAGAAUGAUGAAUAUACAUGGUACCUGCGGAAUGGAGGAUAGUGUCACCAUUGACAAUUAGAAGACUGUUGACGGUCGGAGCUUGAUGAUGACGACGAGCAGUGGAAUCGCCAGGCGUGUGAAGUGAAUAGUUGGUUUUUUAACUAUGGCGGUUACUGUUGGCUUAGUGAAAAAGACGAUAGGGGUAGAACAGUUAUAUAACAAUUUCCGGAGGGUGAAUCUCAAAAAAUGGGGAGGAUACUAUCACAAAAUUUGGGGAAAGAGAUCAUGAUUAAGGCAACGACUCCUUUUGCUUCGGGAGGAUAUCGCUUCAGAACCAAUGAAGAUGCUGAUGAGAGAAGAUAAUUUUGGAACAUAAUAUUAUAUUCCAAAACUAGGGGGCAUGUGUUGAUGCUGGUUUUUGACCAGAGUCAACCGAUGAAGGUAAGGUUCUCACAACCGAUGGAUUUGCAGAAGAAAAGGUCUGUUGACGUUGAUCAAAACUAGCUACGGACGAUCGAAUUCUAGAAGCCGUUAGAAGACCAAGAGGGGACCUGUCCGAAGCGAAAUCGACUCCACCAAAUAAGGAAAAGCGUGGAGAUUUAUCUUUAGUAGUUCUUAGGUUCAUUGUAACGGUUCGCGUCGUAACUGGUUAGGACUUUAGCUUGCUCUAGGGUACAAAUAUAAAUCCACGAGUAUUGUACCAAAAAUCACAAUCAAUCAAUACAACCUUUUGGCACCACGCCGUCAAACACUAGGAGUAGGAGUAGAGUAGAAACCGAUGAGUUUCUUCUUGCGUGCAGGGCUGCAUCAGUUUUGAUCUCGAGCGACCUUGUAAGUACUUUCACCCGGUUAUUACGUUACCUGUAUCAGAACUUUCUAGGUUUUGUACAAUAUUCUAAUCUCUCAGCGUAAGGCUAGUUAUCAAGUUACUUAGAUGCAAAUAGAACUUUCUAGGCUUUGUCCAAUAUUCUAUUUAUUUUCGAGGUUUCUUACAGUUAUCGAGUUGUUUGGUUUGAUUAAGUUGCAUCGUAUCGGCCUCUUAGUUUUAUCAAACGCUCAAAGUUAUCGAACGACUUAGAUCUAAUUAGGUUGUUUUCAUCGGCUUCUUGAUCUUGUUUAAGCGUUCAUCAGUUAUCUGAUCAUAUUGGCUGGUUAGAUCUUGCAUGCUUUAUUUGUUUUACAUAUACUAGGUCCGAUAGAUCUUUGCCUUUGGGCCUCGUAUUGCUAGCCCUCAGAUCUUUAAUGUCAAAACUCUACCGCUGAGAGCCGAUGCCUCGGUUGGGUAUUAUCCAUCCCUCUUGGUAGCAGGAUGAUGUCAUCGAGCCGAUGGCCGUGUAAUGUGAGGCCUUGCUGUCGCAUACUAGUCUUUUGAAUUAGCUCUCUCAGCCAUACUAUCUUGGUUAAGUCCAAUCUAUCGGCUCAUGACAUUGAUCAGAUCUGUUAGCUUUAUCUUGUAAGUGGUAGGUAAGUCAUCCUUGUUGCCAUGUUCUAGUAUUUUAGGUUAACAGAUCAACGUUAAUGCCCUCUCAGCUAUACGUUUUGGUUAAGUCCAAUCUAUCAACUCAUGAUAUUAAUUAGAUCUGUUAGUUUAUUUGACAUGCGUGUGGUGAACAAGGAAUCUUUUAAUGGUUGUUGUUUUAUCUUGCAUCUAUCUUAGUCCGUCGGCUCAUGUAGCCGAUGGCAUAUGCCAUAAAUGUUUCUGUUUAUUUACAUCAUAUGAUUACACUGAAAAUCUAACUUUUAUGUUGUUUAUUCAAAAUAACACCUAGCCAUGAGCUCGAAGGUUUUGCUGCCUAUCGGCUCAGGAAUUUAACGUUUCCCUUAUCAAUUAUAGGUCAAAUUGAUUGACACACCUUGCACCUUUCGCGUACCGAUUUGGAGCAUGUACUAGAGUUAAGCAGAUCUCUCAGGUCCUUCGUGUUAUUAACGCAGAAGCUUGAAGCUCAAAUUUUACGUCAACGAUUGCUUGCUAGGUACGCAUGAGCUCACACACACAAAAAAAAGUUAUACGUGGAAUAUUGAAUCUCACCAUGCCAUACCAUCUUUACUCGGCUUACAACAAAAGCUGAAACUUCCGGCCACCUCGAGGCGAUCAUCAAUGGAAUUAUGGAAGGCUCAACCGGCGGGGUCCAGAUCGUGUCCAGGCGUAUCGUCCGGCCGGAGCCGGCAACCUCGCCAUCGGCGCCCGAGGGUCAUGCACCUGACGCCAUGCGACCUCCGUGUAAUCAAUUUUGAGUACAUCCUGAAGGGAGUCCUCCUGCCGAAUCACCGGACGCGACCCGCAAGCGCCGUCGCGGACGGCCUCGCUUCGUCCCUGGCGCGUGCCCUGGCCCGCUCUACCCUCUUGCUGGCCGCCUCACCGCCGCGGAGGUCACCGGCAGUGUGUCCAGUGGCCUUGUCAUCUCGCUCCGCUGCAACGGCGAGGGCGCCGAGUUCGUCCACGCUGUGGCGCCCGGGGUCUCCGUGAGUGACAUCGCGACCCCGCUGUACGUGCCGCCGGUGGUGCGGUCGUUCUUCCCGUUCAACGGGGUGCGGGGCGUGGACGCGGUUCUGGAAUCCCGGCCUCUUCUCGCCGGCGAAGACACCGAGCUCGCCGACGGCAUCUUCAUCGCCAUGUCCCUCAACCACGGCGUCGCUGACGGGACCACGCUCUGGCACUUUUUCAACACCUGGUCGGAGAUCAGCCGGAGCAGCAGCGGCGGCGGCGAAGGGUACAAGCUCUCCACGGCACCGCCGGUGCUCGACACAUGGUUCCUCGACACUUGCCCCGCGCCUAUCCCUCUACCCUUCGCCAAGGUGGAAGACAUGGUCCAGCGGCCCGAGUACACGCCGGUCCAGGAGUGCUUCUUCCAUUUCUCUGCGGAGAGUGUAAAGAAGCUCAAGGCAACGGCCAACUCGGAGAUGGCCGGAACGGCGGCGACGGCGACCAUCUCGUCGCUGCAGUCUCUUCUCGCGCACACGUGGCGAGCGGUGUGCCGCGCCCGAGGCCUCGCGCCACACCGGGGGACAACGUACUUCCUUGCCAUCGGGCUCCGGGCACGGGUGAAGGAGCCACGAGAUUACGCCGGCAACGCCGUGACGGGCGUGGUCGCGCGGUCCGCCGCCGGCGAUGUCCUCGAGACCUCGACAGGGGCCUAGGAUGGCCGGCGUGGCUCCUGAACCGCGCCGUGGCGUCGUUCGACGAGGCCAGGGAGGGGGAUGAUCUCGCCUCGUGGGCUCGGAACCCCAGCUUACUCUACCUGACGCCGCUCAGGGACCCGGCGAACGUCAUGACCGGGAGCUCGCCGCGGUUCGACAUGUACGGCAACGACUUCGGGUGGGGCAGGCCGGUCGCUGUCCGUAGCGGCGCCGAGAACAAGGUGGACGGGAAGGUGAUAGUGUACGAGGGCCGCGACGGCGGCGGCAUGGCGCUGGAGGUGUACCUGUCUCCCGAGGCGAUGUCCAGGCUCGUCGCCGACGAGGAGUUCAUGGAGGCUGUGAGCCUGUGAGCGUCGCGUGUAGUGGUGGUGCUUGUUUGUGGGCGAUGGUUGGCAGCUGCCUGAUGCUGAUUAGGCUGCAAUAGACAACGGGGCUGCCUACCAGGCACCCGAGCAUUACCAAGUGCCUCAGCACUCGAUUUUUUCGACGCUCGGACAGCCGACGCUUUCUCUUCCUCCUCCCGACGGGUUCAUCUUCCUCGCGCCCACCCGCCCCCCCGCCGCCGCCCCACGCACCGCCGCCCUGCCUCGGCGGGCUAGGUUCUCGGCGGAGGAUGGCUCCCACCUCCGCUUCCAUCAUCUCGUCGCCCCCGCCCGAGCCCUGCCCAACCGCCAUCCUCCACUGCCCAGGCCAGCGGCGCCACCGCCGCCUCGCCUCGCCGCCCCUGCGCCCACCACCACUGCCGUGCCGGCCUGCCGCCGACGGCCUUCCCUCUAAGGCCGGCAAUGGAGAGCUCGCCGGAGCCCAAACCCUCCAAACCCAAACCCCGAACCCUAAUGUCGCCGGAGACCUCACCGGAGGCGGAGAAGAAGCUAGAGUUGUCUUGAUUGGUAAGAGGAGGAGGAAGCAGAAAAUUUGAGGAGGCUUGGAAAUGCUCGGGUGUGUUUUAGCAUUCCCUUAGACAAUAGUGGGCCGUUUGCUCAGCCCGAGCACGAGCCAGGGAGGAGGGACGGCCCUGUGCGCUAAGGCCGUGGCAAUAUUGCUUUCGUCCUUGUCCAGUCGGAGCCAUGUUUUAAUUCUCUUAUGAUCUUCUUUUUCUAUUUUCUAUUUCCUUUUUGGCUGUGACUUCAGAAUACUUGAAGUCCCUUGCCACCAUUUUCUUCUCCUAAUGCUGUUACGUUUUCUUUUCUAUUGUACAUGCGGCUGUGUGCCUGUGUCGCCAUCUAUCCCAUCCUUCUUCCUUUUGUUUUUAUGGAGUAAAAAAAAUCCUUGAACAAGCAGAAGUAAGUAGAAAAAACUUCUGGACCGAUGACAAGGUCAUCCAACUUUAUUCAUAUAUAUAUGCAUAAGGCACGGAGUAUACAUGCAAAGUACAAGCAUACGUAAGUAUAUAUGGUACAAAAAGAAUAACGAAUACGACUCGAUGAAACCGCCGCUCAAAUCUCCAAGAGAAAGCUACGCAUAUGCAGUAUGUAUAAGCAUGGCACACAUGCUUCUACUGCAUAAUCUUCGCCACGAGCAGGGAUACCAGCGCGGACGACACCACGGCCACGGCGGACGCCGCCGGAGCGGAGGCCGCCCCGGCGAUCGGAGAGGGCGCGGGCGCGGACGACGGCGCCGUGGUGAACUCCUGCGCCGACGCGGAGGCGACGAGCACGGCCGCGGCGAGGAGCAGCACGGAGGCGAAGCGUGAAGCCAUCUCGGGACGAUCGACUUGCUGGAAGGCUUUGAACUUGCUUGCUAGCUCUCGAAGACUCUGCUGCGGCGGUGGCGGUGGCGGUGGCGGUGUGCGUGUACUCUGCUGCGGAUUGCGAUGCUGCGAUGGGGGGAGGAGGUUUAUAUAGGCCGCCCAAGCGGAGGGCUGCGCCGUGGGAUCGGCGGGUCGCAGUCGUGGGUUUAAUUUCUCUCCGUGUCCGCGCGCGUCUGCGUUCCUUCCGCGGGGGGCACGGCACGGCAC
rnacentral:lncRNA from 1 species